CUCGCCGGUCUUUGUUGUUUCAGGAUCAACAUGUUCUUCGUCAUCGUCAUAAUCGUAGUUCAUGACUUCAUCAAUUCGGUCGUCGCGAUCGAAUAUCAUAUCACCCUCUCUGGUGUUGUUUAGAAAUUCGGAGCCGGCAUAAUCUUCUUCAUUCUGAUCAUCAUCUGGCCCGCGUAUCAUAUCGAACAUGGUCUGUUCUCCCUCUCUGUCGGUAUUGUCUGCCAUAGCUUUUAUUUAACUAAUUCAAAAAAAUAUAUAAAACAAUUUAGUAUUCAAAUUACAUCGUCUCGAAUAAUAGAUAUAAUCUCGAAUACUUCGUCUAGAAUAAUAGAUAUAAUCUCGAAUACAUCGUCUCAAAUAAUAUAUAAUAUUGAAUAGUACAUCACUGGCUAGCUAAUUAAAGAUCGAAUACUACAGAAGAAUCUAGAACACUCGUGGUUCCUGCGGCGCGGGCGGUGGACACCCAAAGAGAAGGAACCCUCACAGGAUCAUAGCUGAAGUGAGAUCCCCGAAGAUACUGCCAGGUAUUGGAGAACCUGCCGCCCUCUAACGCAACCAUGUAGCGAUGGACGUGCUCGUCCUCCUCCCUAACACGGCGACGUACCACCUCCGGCGGGGCCGGGUCCCUCCGCACCGAAACUGGCCCACGCGAACGCCACCAAACGAGAUCAGGAUCGACGACGGGACCCAGGGCCGGGUUCCUCAUCAAGCGGCGCGCCCCUCCAGGCAGCACCUCCUAGUGCCAGCCCGACGGAGCCCAGUCCCGGACAUGGGGCGGCUGGACGUCGUCGUGGACGGGUCGACGGCGAGGAUGCGGGCCGGGCAUCGUCGAGAACAAAUACUAGCUAUAUGCCCGCAAAAAGUAACAUUUUUUUAAUGAUUGGAUUUUAAUAACUAAAAUUUCUAACAUUUCUAUAUAACACUAAUUAUGCUAAUCUAAAUAAUCUAAAUAACACUAAAAUUUCUAACAUUUCUAACAUUUCUAUAUAACACUAAUUUCUAACAUUUCUAUAUAACACUAAUUUCUAACUGAUUAAACACUAAUUAUAUCCAUCUAACAUGCAUUCAUACAUAUAUAAUAGUGAAAAAAUAAUAAUCUAAAUAAUCUAAACUAAUUAAACAUACAAAAUACGUGUGUGUGUACUAAUUAAACACUAAUUAUCUAAACUAAUUAAACAUACAAAAUAAUAAUCUAAAUAAUCUAAACUAAUUAAAGACUAAUUAUCUAAANNNNNNNNNNNNNNNNNNNNNNNNNNNNNNNNNNNNNNNNNNNNNNNNNNNNNNNNNNNNNNNNNNNNNNNNNNNNNNNNNNNNNNNNNNNNNNNNNNNNNNNNNNNNNNNNNNNNNNNNNNNNNNNNNNNNNNNNNNNNNNNNNNNNNNNNNNNNNNNNNNNNNNNNNNNNNNNNNNNNNNNNNNNNNNNNNNNNNNNNNNNNNNNNNNNNNNNNNNNNNNNNNNNNNNNNNNNNNNNNNNNNNNNNNNNNNNNNNNNNNNNNNNNNNNNNNNNNNNNNNNNNNNNNNNNNNNNNNNNNNNNNNNNNNNNNUAUAUAUAGAAGGCACCUUUAGUACCGGUUGGAGCCACCAACCGGUACUAAAGGCCUGUUUUGGCCAGGCCAAGCGGCGGGAAGCGACCCCCUUUAGUACCGGGUGGUGGCACAAACCGGUACUAAAGGCCCCCCCUUUAGUACCGGUUUGUGCCACGACCCGGUACUAAAGGGGGUGCGCUGGCGCAGGUGCGGUGCGGCAAGUUUAGUCCCACCUCGCUAGCCGAGGGGCGACCGCACUGGUUUAUAAACCCCCGUGCGGUCGCUCUCUCGAGCUCCUCUCCAAAGCAGGCUUACUGGGCCUACGUGUUCUUUGCAGCCAUGUGGGCCCACUUGGCCUUUGCGGGCCUGCAUCCUGGCCCAACGACAGGUUGGGUUUCUAGUCGUAUGCAGGCCGCUCUGGCCUAGUAGGCGGGCUUUUUUUAUUUUAUUUUUUGCUUUAUUUAUUUUUGUGUUGUUUUUUUUGUGUAUUUAGAGUUUCUUUGUGAACAUUUUUGUUUUAGGUACAAAAAAUUACAAACUUUCUGUUAGGGCUUUUUUUUAUUUUUUUGUGUUGUUUUUUUUGUGUAUUUAGAGUUUCUUUGUGAACAUUUUUGUUUUAGGUACAAAAAAUUACAAACUUUCUGUUAGUGCCCGUAGUUUUCAAAUUUGAAUAGUUUAAAUUUUGAAUUUUUUGAAAUUAGUGUGAAUCACUGGUUUGUGAAUAACUUAACUUUAAAAAUCAGUAAAGGCAUGAAAGAAUUUGUUUGCACAUAAAAUUUCUUCGCAUUUCAAAUGCCAAAACACAUAACUACCCUAACUAUUACAGAGAUUCCCCUCUCGGUGCGAAACACAGAAGAAAGUGAUGAUAGCUAGUGAAGCCGAUCACAUCCCAGAUCUUUGGUUGUGAAACUUUUUCUUCGCGUGUGUCUCUUUGCGCCGUAACCAUAGAAAAUCGUCAUCAUUUAACGGGAUGCUCGGGUCAAUAUUCACUGUGAAUGGAGCAAUUUCAUUAAACUUUUCAUAAUCUUCUGACUUGUCUGUCUUGUCAUCCACUCCCACGAUGUUUCUCUUCCCAGAAAGAACUAUGUGCCGCUUUGGCUCAUCGUACGAUGCAUUCGCUUCCUUAUCUUUUCUUUUUCUUGGCUUGGUAGACAUGUCCUUCACAUAGAAAACCUGUGCCACAUCAUUGGCUAGGACGAAUGGUUCGUCUGCAUACGCAAGGUUGUUGAGAUCCACUGUUGUCAUUCUGUACUGCGGGUCUUCCGUUACCCCGCCUCGUGUCAUAUUGACCCAUUUGCACCGAAACAAAGGGACCUUUAAACCAUGUCGAUAGUCAAGUUCCCAUAUGUCCUGUAUAUAACCAUAAUAUGUUUCCUUUCCCGUUUUAGUUUCUGCAUCAAAGCGGACACCACUGUUUUGGUUGGUGCUCUUCUUAUCUUGGGCGAUCGUGUAAAAUGUAUUACCAUUUAUCUCAUACCCUUUGAAAGUCAUUAUAUUCGAAGAUGGUAACUGGGACAGCAAGUACAGGUCAUCUUCAAUAGAGGUGUCAUGCAUGGUACGUGUCUGCAACCAGCUGGCGAAACUCCUGGUUUGUUCACGUGUAAUCCAGUCAUCAGACCGCUCCGGGUGUUUGGAGCGUAGCAAAUUCUUGUGUUCAUCCAUAUACGGAGCCAUCAAGGCGGAAUUCUGUAGAACUGUGUAGUGUGCUUCAGUGAGAGAAUGUCCGUCCAUACAUAUUAUUUGUUCCCCUCCUAGCAUGCCUUUUCCAUCCAGUCUGCCCUUAUACCGCGAUUCAGGAACACUAAUCGGCUUAAGGUCAGGAAUAAAGUCAAUACAAAACUCAAUGACAUCCUCAUUUUGAUGGCCCUUGGAGAUGCUUCCUUCUGGCCUAGCAUGGUUAUGAACAUAUUUCUUUAAGACUCCCAUGAACCUCUCAAAGGGGAAUAUAUUGUGUAGAAAUACAGGACCCAAAAUGUUAAUCUCUUGGCACAGGUGAACUAGGACGUGUGUCAUGAUGUUGAAGAAGGAUGGUGAGAACACCAACUCGAAACUGACAAGACAUUGCACCAAAUCAUUCUGUAACCUUGGUAUGAUUUCUGGAUCGAUUACCUUCUGAGAGAUUGCAUUGAGAAAUGCACAUAGCUUCACAAUGGCUAAUCGAACGUUUUCCGGUAGAAGCCCCCUCAAUGCAACCGGAAGCAGUUGCGUCAUAAUCACGUGGCAGUCAUGAGACUUUAGGUUCUGGAACUUUUUCUCUGCCAUGUUUAUUAUUCCUUUUAUAUUCGACGAGAAGCCAGACGGUACCUUAAUACUGAGCAGGCAUUCAAAGAAGAUUUCCUUCUCUUCUUUGGUAAGAGCGUAGCUUGCAUGACCCUGAUGUAUGUCGUCUUCUUCGUGCAUACGUUGCUGGUCCUCCCGUGCCUCAGGUGUAUCUUUUGUCUUCCCAUACACGCCCAAGAAGCCAAGCAGGGUCACGCAAAGAUUCUUCGUCACGUGCAUCACGUCGAUUGCGGAGCGGACCUCUAGGUCUUUCCAAUAUGGCAGGUCCCAAAAUAUAGAUUUCUUCUUCCACAUGGGUGCGCGUCCGUCAGCGUCCUUUGGAACGGAUUGUCCGCCAGGACCCUUUCUAAAUAUCACCUUCAAAUCCUUGACCAUAUCAUGUACAUCAGCACCAGUACGGUGGCGAGGCUUCGUCCGGUGAUCCGCCUCACCUUUGAAAUGCUUGCCUUUCUUUCUUACGGGAUGCCUGCUCGGAAGAAAUCGACGAUGUCCCAGGUACACAUUCUUCUUACAACUAUUCAAAUAUAUACUGUCGGUAUCAUCCAAAUAGUGCGUGCAUCCGUGGUAUCCCUUGUUUGUCUGUCCUGAAAGGUUACUGAGAGCAGGCCAAUCAUUGAUGGUCACGAACAGCAAUGCCUUUAGGUAAAAUUCUUCUUGUUUGUGCUCAUCCCAUGCACGUACAUCUGUUCCAUUCCACAGUUGUAAGAGUUCUUCAACUAAUGGCCUUAGGUACACAUCAAUGUCGUUGCCGGGUUGUUUAGGGCCUUGGAUGAGCACUGGCAUCAUAAUGAACUUCCGCUUCAUGCACAACCAAAGAGGAAGGUUAUACAAAUAUAGAGUCACAGGCCAGGUGCUAUGGUUGCUGCUCUGCUCCCCAAAAGGAUUAAUGCCAUCUGCGCUUAGACCAAACCAUACGCUCCUUGCGUCAUCUGCAAACUCCUUCCCGUAUUUUUUUUGAUUUUUCUCCACUGCGACCCAUCAGCGGGUACUCUCAACUUUCCGUCUUUCUUACGGUCUUAUCUGUGCCAUCGCAUCGCCUUGGCAUGCUCUUUGUUUUGGAACAAACGUUUCAACCGUGGUAUUAUAGGAGAAUACCACAUCACCUUGGCAGGAAUCUUCUUCCUGGGGCGCUCGCCCUCAACAUCACCAUGCUCAUCGCGGCUGAUCUUAUAGCGCAAUGCACCACAUACCGGGCAAGCGUUCAAAUCCUCGUACUCACCGUGGUAGAGGAUGCAAUCAUUAGUGCAUGCAUGUAUCUUCUGCACCUCUAACCCUAGAGGGCAGACAGCCUUCUUUGCUUCGUACGUACUCUCGGACAAUUCGUUGUCCUUUGGAAGCAUAUCCUUUAUCAUUAUCAGCAACUUUCCAAAUCCCUUGUCAGAUACACCAUUCUCUGCCUUCCAUUGCAGCAAUUCCAGUGUGGUGCCCAGCUUUUUCUUGUCACCUACACAAUUCAGGUACAACAAUUUUUAUUGAUCCUCUAACAUGCGCUGCAACUUCUUCUUCUCCAAAUCACUUGCGCAGUUUCUCUUUGCAUCGGCAAUGGCCCGACCUAGAUCAUCAACGGGCUCAUCUGAUGCCUCUUCUUCAGCUUCUUCCCGCAUUGCCGGCUCAGCUUCUUCCCGCAUUACCGGCUCAGCUUCUUCCCCCAUUGUUGUAUCAUCGUAUUCAGGGAACCCAUGGCCAGGAUAGCUGUCGUCGUCCUCUUCUUCUUCAUUGUCUUCCAUCAUAACCCCUCUUUCUCCGUGCUUGGUCCAAACAUUAUAGUGGGGCAUGAAACCGGACUCAAACAGGUGGACGUGAAUGGUUCUUGACGUAGAGUAAUUGCGACCAUUCUUACAGCCAGCACAUGGACAAGGCAUAAAACCAUCCGCCCGCUUGUUUGCCUCAGCCGCAAGCAGAAAAGUAUGCACGCCCUCAACGAACUGGGGAGAGCAUCGAUCAUCGUACAUCCAUUGUCGGCUCAUCUUCAUUACACAACACCAAAUAGACCAAAUUAAUACAAGUUCAUAAAUAAAGUUCAUACAACACUUAAAUGCAACAAACAAAUAACUCUCUAGCUAAAGCAUUUAAAUGCAACAACAAAUGCGAUCAAGAUCGCAACUAAGGUAACAAUUGAUCCAACAGCAUAAUGAUAUCAAGCCUCACUAUCGAUGGCAUAUUUUCUAAUCUUUCUAAUCUUCAAGCGCAUUUUCUCCUUCUUGAUCUUGUGAUCAUCGACGACAUCGGCAACAUGCAACUCCAAUUCCAUCUUCUCCCCCUCAAUUCUUUUCAAUUUUUAUUUCAAGUACUCGUUUUCUCUUUCAACUAAAUUUAACCUCUCGACAAUAGGGUCGGUUGGAAUUUCCGGUUCACAUACCUCCUAGAUAAAAAUAUCUAUGUCAACUUGAUGGGCAUAAUUUUUCAUAAACACGAAAUGCAACAAAUAGUUUUAAAAGAGAAUAUACCAUAUCCGAAUCAUAACAAGGACGAGGGGCGACGGGGACGGAUAUCAAAACCAUGGCACUAUGUAUAACAAAUAACGUACGGGUAAGAUAAUUAUUAUACGAGUAACUAUAUAUCCAAAUCACACAAACAUCAAUUUUUUAUAUAAAAUUUCAUGAACAAGAGGCUCACCACAAGGUGGUGCCGGCGACGGGACGGUGCGGGCGAUCGACGGUGGUUACGACGGAGAUUGAGAAGGCACUAAGUAAACCACACCUACAUAUGCAAACUAAGUGUUAUUUUAACCUCAAAUUGCAUAUAAAUCAAAUACUAGCACAUAUAUAUAUAUCCUCCCAAAUUACUAAACUCACAAAUUAAUAAUUAUAUAAAGCAUUGCAAGAGCUAAUCUAGCAAUGAGAGAUGAAAGGACAAAGUUGCUAACCUUUGUGAUCAUUUGAAUGGAUGGGGGCCUUCAAAUCUUGACAAAUUUUGGGCAAAAUGUGUGAUGAGCUCGAGAGGAAGAGGGGAAGAACAGAGCGAGCUCGGGUGGACGAAGGGUUUAUGUAGGACGACCUUUAGUACCGGUUCAUGCCAAGAACCGGUACUAAAGGUGCUGGAGGGGGCCCAGACUGACAACAUCCUGCCACCACUCUCAUUAGUACCGGUUCGUGGCACGAACCGGUGCUAAAGGUUAGCCACGAACCGGUACUAAUGAGAGCGGCCCGGCUAGCCGUUGGAACCGGCACUAAUAUAUACAUUUGUGCCGGCUCAAAUACAAACCGACACUAAUGUGCUUCACGUUUGACCCUUUUUCUACUAGUGUCUAGACAUCGAAGUUGCGCACAACUUAAUUAUUUUUUAAACAAAAUAAGAAAAAAAAAGAAUAAUAAUACACAGCGAGCAACCACAGCGAACGAAUGAGAGAAGUGGACGGCGAAACAUUUAUAUCAUAUCAUGCCUAUCCACUAGACUCAUUUGAUACCAGCAAGAAGUGCAUCUCCUCACAAGUCACAAAUAUGAUCACAUAUCACCAUAAGGCUCGUUGCCUUGAUAUUGGAAAUUUUGUUGUUCCUUUCUCUUCAAAUGCACGACCAAAAAUAGGAGAAUGCUUUCUCUUGAUUUUCCUUCUAUAUUUGUACAGUGUACAACUCUGUUUAUGAUGUAUUGGGGUUUUUCCUCUCUUAGUGAAUGAAACACAGGAAAGAAGGCAACGCUGCUGCAUUUUGCUUAAUUCACUAGAUCUGUGGGUUGGAUCAAUGCUAGGUCUAGCCGCCAAGUUACUUAACUACACACAUCUUACCUAUCCAUAUUUCUACGUUGAUGAGGUACGUACUAGAACAUAGUAAAAAGGACAUGAAAGGUUGACACAGGGUUAGCAAAAGGAAAGCGUGAGCAGUCCAACCAUGCAAGCCAAUCAACGGGAACAUACGCCGGGCUGGAAUCCAUGCCCUACUGCUACAAUGAAAAUAAUUAGUGAGGGCCGGAGUGAAGGGUAGAAAAGGGCCAUGGUCCUUGUGAAAGAAACGGAUGGGGAGUCAUUUUCGUGUGCACCACUGGUCCUUGCGACAAGAGGAUGCCCGUAGCUAGAGCUGACCCUCCCCACUAACGCUACUCCACUACUGUCUUUGUCAUAUCUAUGUUUGUAUGCAUGUCGGUCUGUACCUACCGGCAACACUGCUCAGCACGCCACACAACAGUACAAUACAUAUCACAUCUAUACAUCUUAGGUAUGGGUGCCCCUACAUAAACGUGUGGUGUGGCGUGAGCAAGGGACAAGGCAACUAACAGAUUUUUCUGUUUGCAACAGGGUGCAACUAAUAGAGUUGAAAUAAUGUUACUGGAUAUGUUGCUGUGCCGAUCCACACACGCACCGACGGCACUGGUUUACAGGGAUUGUUGCACACGCGUCCGGGUCUGAUUGGCUCCUCCACCCUAUAAAACCACACCGUAUGUAUCUUCACUUCUCCACACAGAGCACACCGACCCACCAUCCAUCUAUCCAUCCAUCCAGGCUAGAAGCAGCGGCCAACAAGUGCACCCCUAGCUGCGAGCACAAGGAGCUGGCAGCAAUGGCGAGGCAUCGCCUCCUUGCCGUGCUCAUGCUCCUCGUCGGGGUAGUGGCAGCCUCCACUUUCCACCAAGCGGCCGCCGCUGGCCGGGGCCUUGCUGUCCUCGAGAAGUUUGCGGACCUGGAGCCAAAGCCAAAACCCAAACCAGAGCCAAUGCCCAAACAAAUGCCGAAGCCUGAACCAGAAUCAAAACCAAAGCCCAAGCCGAUGCCAAAACCCGAACCCAAGCCCAAGCCGAUGCCCAAACCUGAACCAAAGCCAGAGCCCAAGCAUAAACCAAUGCCUAAGCCAGAGCCCAAGCCUAAACCAAUGCCUAAGCCGGAACCGAAGCCUAAACCUGAACCAAAACCAAAGCCACCACCAAAGCACAAGCCGCCAACAGCUUACAAUUGAUGGGAUACUAUAUAUGCAAACUGAAGGAUCGAGGAGAUCAUGGCCAGAGCCACAAUCGCGAUAUUUCUAGAAUAAGUGGUGUAGUAACAAUGUCAUUCUAUCCGGCUAGCUCCAUAGUGAUGCAUCUUUCUGUAUUCUAUGUAUUUCGUUACAUUUACAAAGUUUCUGUUUCAUGUACCCAUGAUGAGUAUCACAACCUUGUAAUUGUUAGCUGCUUGUUGGUGUACGUUCAAUUUUGUACGUGACUCAUUGUUCUAUUUGUGUAUCUAUAUGCAUGAUUUUAUUCAUUCGCAUGAAUGAGUUAUUUUGUCCAGGGGACCGCAGGCUAUGUUGUUUUUCUCCAUGGGAUGCAGUAUAACAUUUGUUUGGAGAAUAUUGCACUGGAGCAAGCGAUAUUCUUGCAUGUCUAGACUUUAUAUGUGACAAGUAAACUCAUGAAAUUUUUGGAAGGUUUUAUCAAAGGUAGAAACGCAGCUCCUUUGUAAAGUCAAGAAUAGGAGUUUAUAUUCCCAUAAUUUGGAAUAGAUCUAAGUAGCUUGGGCCAUGGGCAUCAUUAGUGGCAAAGAAUAUUCCUUUUGUUGAGGAACAAAGAUACCAUCAUGCAUCUUAACAUCCACCAAAACUCCAAAUGAAAUCCAAAGAAAAAGAUGAUGAUAGCUUAUAAACCCCUUCCACUAAAAUGAGGAUAGCUUAUAAAACCAUUCAAUCGGUCCUGAAGUUUGAAGUCCAAAAAAGUUAAUUUAAUACUUCACUACAUGUCGCUCUGGUAUUUUUUUCAAAACGGGGGAAUACCACCGGCAUUUGCAUCAUGUGAUGCACACAACCAUUUUUAUUUAAGUAUUAAUAUCCGAUACAAGAGAUAAGAACAGAACUUCAAUUGACUCGUCAGCCAAACCGGUUGAAUGUAACUUGUGCUAUCGUCUCCCCGCAACUGCACACCAAGAACCAUAGGCACCUAAUCAUCUGCACAUUCUAGAGAGCACCAAGUAUAGAUACAUCAUGUGGCUUGGAAGAUAACCAGCAACAAAUUUAAUUAGUUGUACGAUUAAAAUACAAUCAUAAAGGCAAUACAAUAUUGCCCAUAAUAAGGCACACAUGCCAACGCGCAUAAGAGCCUUGGUGGUUACGACCUUUCAAAUGAUGGGUAGAAAAAUUAUAUAUUUUGGUUGUGUUGUUAUCGCGCUCUUGCAUACCAUGUGUGAGAUUCUUGUUUGACUUCAGCUAUAGUUUAUUUCUUUUUGUUACAACUUUCACUUCGUUUGAAGCUUGCAGGUUGUAGCCUCCACUCCGUUCGACGGGGAAUCAGUUGCCCCAAUGCCGCUACCCCGGCAUCACACACCCAUAUCAGUGAAGCCACCUCCACCACCCCACAAUCCAAGGACACACACAUAUCCGCCAAGGGAAGGUUUAAGGCUCCCGGCUAGCAUGAACGGUGGAGUAAUAUUUUUGGAGAAAAGGGAUAGAUUCCAAAUGCCUUGGUUCCACGACAUUACGUGAAUACCGUCCGUUGUCUCCUUUGUUACCAGGUGUGUACCUUUAAGAAAAUUGUGAAAAUACACCCAAAGGGCAUCUCAUAGCUGACAUUUAUCAACGAAAAUGAUGGACGGCACAAUGAAAAGAUAACAAGAUACAAAGCGACUUGCAAAAAAAUGUACUACAAAAAUCAUACUAGACGUCUUCUUCNNNNNNNNNNNNNNNNNNNNNNNNNNNNNNNNNNNNNNNNNNNNNNNNNNNNNNNNNNNNNNNNNNNNNNNNNNNNNNNNNNNNNNNNNNNNNNNNNNNNNNNNNNNNNNNNNNNNNNNNNNNNNNNNNNNNNNNNNNNNNNNNNNNNNNNNNNNNNNNNNNNNNNNNNNNNNNNNNNNNNNNNNNNNNNNNNNNNNNNNNNNNNNNNNNNNNNNNNNNNNNNNNNNNNNNNNNNNNNNNNNNNNNNNNNNNNNNNNNNNNNNNNNNNNNNNNNNNNNNNNNNNNNNNNNNNNNNNNNNNNNNNNNAAUGUCCUCACUAAACCAGGCUUUAAAGACCGCAAUAGUCACUCGCCGCUAGAAACGAGAUCUAGUAACCAAUGAUGAAAUGUUAGUUCGAGCAUCGCCCCAUACAAUGCAGACUUGCAAUCCUUCAUGCCCAAUCCAAAGGGUUGGAGAAACCGUACCUGAUGUAUACUGUCUCUUGAGCAAGCAAUACACAUGAUUCAUUGCAUUGGUCAAUCAUGUUUGUGGUUCUUGAGAUGGCUACGUCAAAAUUAAUCAUUUUUGGUUCUGAUGUACUCUCCGCGUGGUAGCUGAAUUUACAUAAGGCAAAAAGGUUAACAGUUAAAACUAAUCACAAAAUUAAAGGCGGACCUGAGAUGGCUCAUUGAUGACCUAAAGUGCAUGGAUCACCAUUGUACCUUUUGUGGUAGUAUUGAGAAAAUAUUAUAUUGAUCCAUAGGAAUUAAGGUCAGCCAUUCCUUGUUACCACAACUAGAGUUGACACAAUCUCUAGUCGCUUUUGCACCUAAAAUGUGGUUUGGAAAUUAGUCUAUGAGGUGCUACCUUCUAUCAGACCACCAAAUUAUUGGCUAAACUAGACUAAGAAUGGAUAAUAAAAACAAUAAUUAAAAGAAAUAAACUGUUGUCCAUGUGGCCGAAGAAUUCCUGAACAUCGCCGAAAGCUUUCUCCUUGAUCGUCAUGAGUGUAUGGUGGCACAUUUGGAGAGAGAAAGAGGAACAACAAAAUUUCAAUCUCAAGGCAGCGAGCGUUAUGGUGAAUUGGUGAUGUAUAUGAUCACAUUUGUGAGGAGUUGCAAACUUGGCUUCUUGCUGGCAUCAAAGACGUUUAGUGGAUACCAUCAAUGUUACAUGGCCCUAUCCCCCAUUUCUCUUCUUUUUCUUUCCAUAUUUGUACUAUAUAUAAUUCACCUGGUUUUCAGAAGAAGAAAAAAAGGCACCGCUGCUGCAUUCGGUCAAAUUUAGUUGGGCCAACAACGACGGCACAAAAAAAAGAGGGGUGUUCCGAGAAUCGAACUCGGGACCUCUCGCACCCGAAGCGAGAAUCAUACCACUAGACCAAACACCCUGUUUGAUUACGUAGCCAAUCUAACUUCUUAAAUCCACACAGCUAAUUAGCCGCUUUUUUGUUUCGAUGGCGACUAAAUUAGGCGCUUGUUGUAGGGCAGAUGGAAAUCCAAGUAAAAGGGACAUGAGGGAUUGGCACAAGCUCGGCAAAAGGAAAUGCGUGAGCCGGAUGUGCGUACGGCACUCCAACCAUGCUAAUCGACGUACGCCGGGUUGGCAUGGUAGCUAUCGAUCUCGUGCGAGAUGCCCUACUUGCUACGGCGAAAAUAAUUAGUGGGGGAGCGAUCGAAAACUCAGAGCUGAUCCUCAACUCAUUUAUCCCAGGGUAUAGUAAAUUUCCCCCGCAAAAAGAAAGUGUAAAUAGUAAAUUCAGAUAAAAUAAUAAAAACUUGUUAAAAAAUCUGAAAUGUUUGCACUUCAAAGAUGCUCGACUCUUCUAGGGAAGGCGCGUGCAAAUUUUCAUGGGAGGAACUUUGUAAUAAAACGAAAUCGGAGCUCCAAAAUGUCCAAAGCUGCAAAGAAAUGUCAAACUCCUACUUUCUUUCUGAGCCCCUCCAAACUCACAUUGCCAAGAAAUUUUGCAAGCACCUACACAAGAGUCAAGCAUCUUAGAAGUCCGAAACAUUCAAAUAUACUCCCUCUGUAGUGAUCUAAACGCUCUUAUAUUAGUUUACGGAGGGAGUACUUUUUAAAACUCUAAUUAUUUGUCUCAAAUUUACUUUUCACGAGCUGGACUGUUGGAACAGAUGCAAGUGGGCAUUGAGACGCAGGGGUACCAUGAGUUUGCUGGGUUGGUGCGGAGGACAUCCAACACUAUUUAUUUAACCGUCGUGGCGCACAAUAGGUAUGGAGGGAGCUAGGCCUACGAGAAACUAUUAGGCAUACUGUUAUGCAGGAUAGAUCAGGUUCGGUCACAAAUGGAAAAUAUUAGAGGCCAUAUGUGGUCGGCACCAUCCAUCACUACUAUUGCUUGCUUGCGCCCGCCUGUGAAUGAAUGAAGGCGUGGAGGAUGGAUUUUGCCGUACGGCCUCCUCUUGAGAUUUACAUCUCCCUUCGGUCCCCUCCCGACACUUCUUAAGAGAUCUUAAGCUAGCUUACACCAACUAAUUCUACCAAGCCGUCUUACUAAUUAACAAGCCCGCAUGGUUUUGUAGCAAAGUAGUAAUAACCCAGGGAAGAGGACGUGUGUAAGUAAAGUACCCUGUGAGAUGACUCAGGGGCAUGUAGACGGAAUGGACACAUCUCCUUUUCCUUUUACGUACGUACCCACAUACAUACAUACAUACAUACAUACAUAAGUUUUGGAUAUGUCAUACAAGCUAGUAUUAAAACUCCUGAUACAUCAGUUUUGCCCUGAAUACAUGAGUCUCAUUAUUUAAAAUAUUAGAGGCCAUAUGUGGUCGGCAACAUACUUAUGCUAUGAGUACAUCUUCUGUCAACAUGGACGGACGGAUGCUGCAGCGCAUACUUAUGCUAUGAGUCAUUAACCUCAGGUUACGACUUUGUUGUGCCCGGUUACGAAAUGGUUCUUACCGGACACGGUAUUGUGGCUCCCCGAUACAACAUUGUUGCUCCCAGAUACGAUAUUUUUGCUCCCACCUACGUCAUUGUGGGUCCCGGAUACAAUAUUGUGCUUCCCAAUCACGACAUGGUGGCUCCCUGACGCGGCAUGGUUGCUCCCAGAUACGACAUGGUUAUCCCCAGUUACGACAUGGUUAUUACCAUAUACGACCUGGUAGCUCCCGGAUACGGCGUUGUUAUUCCCAAUUAUGAUAGUGUUGUCGUUCCCGGCCACAACAUUGUUGCUCCCAGAUCUGACAACGUUGUUGGUCCCAGCUAUGACAUUUGGCGCAUGCUUAAGUUGUCGGCGAAGUGUGCUUCUUCCGCUACGCUUCAGAUACAAUGACAUGUUAGUGAAACUGAUACCUGGUGAACAUCCAGAGGUGUUGAGGCCCUUAGAACUCUUGGGUACCUCGCCAACCAAUGUAUUGUUGGAGAGAUCCAAGUAGCAAAGGUGGUCGAGCCUACCAAUCCACGACGGGAUGGUGCCGACCAGUUGGUUGCGGGACAAGUCAAGCACCUCCAUAUUCUUGCAUUGAGACAACCAUUCAGGAACCUUGCCCUUGAGAGCACAAUCACCAAGAUCGAGCACCACGAGGCUCUUGAACCCAGCAAUAAUGCCAUCAUCGGGUAGCUCCUCGCCGCCGAAAUUCUUGGUGAGAAUCAGCGUGAUGAGGUUCUGGCACCCACGCAGCAUGGUGAGCGCCCCUGAGAUGUUGUGCAAGCUGUUGUAGCCGAGGUCGAGUUCCUCCAGCCGCGCGAGCCCCGCGAGGGAGGCUCCUGGGAUGGGCCCCACGAGGCCGCGCCCAGGGAGGCGCAACGACGUGACGCGGCCGUUGGCGCCGUCACAACCCACGCCAUCCCAGCCGCAGCACAUGGCGCCGGACCACGCAGCGCGAAGGAGAACGGCCCCCCUGCUAAGGUUCCCGGCGAAGCCCCGCAGCGCGUGUAGGUCGUCGGGGUGGCACGAGGUGGCGCGUGCCUCGGGCAAGAGACCCGCCAAGAAGAGGAGCAGCAGGCAGCAUUUCACCAUGGGAUUCAUUCAGCUCUAGUGAGUGAUUCACAGCCGCUCUUGGUGUACAAACUGCUUGGGUGUUGCAUCUAUCGUUAUUUAUAGUUUCUACAACAUGUGCGUUGUUGCAAGUAGUAGAGAGUAAGUGGCCACCCCACGAACAAGUAAGUGCCUGCCAUUGAUUUGAUCUGUGACUGUCGACUGGGCUGAAAUUCGUGGGCGCCAACUCCUCCUCCUCCUCUUCUAUCUUUUACUUUACUUCCCAUCAAUCAAAAAGUGAAAAAAAAAACAUAUACUUUACUUGUCGACAGAGAGCACCUGGCAUUCCUAUAGUGCUCAUGCUUCUUGUCUUUUUUUUUCCUUUUGUCGACACUUGUUUCCACCCACUGGAUGUAUCUUGUCAAACUUUGUCGAAACAUCCAGGGAUAAAAUACGUUUGAAUUCUUACAAAUUCCUUGUUGAAUGGAUGCAAUCUCAUCUUAAUCUUUUCUAAUAAAGUGUAAAUGUAUCUCAAUAACUAGUAUGCAUUCUGUUUGCACACGAACACGUCACCGUGUACCCUCGACGCCGGGGGUGAUGCACCGCAGCUCACGUCAAAGGAGACCCGUCCGGAAGCGCGGUACGCAAGCAAUCCGGCGGGUGCUUUUGAGGACCCAAAACCCCACACGCCCGGGAGGGACCCCGUCAGGGCGCACGACGGCUAUGGGCUGCCCUAGGUCGACCUGAUCGCCCCUAGGGCCUCGAGGUUCGCCGCCCUGCAAUGAAGAAGAACGAACGAAGAACGAGGAAGAAGAAGAACUAGGGUUAAGGAGAAAAGAUAAAAGAUAAAAGUGGUAGAUGAUUUGUUUGAUUGUGUGUUGUUCAAUCGGCCGUCACCCCUUAGGUAUAUAAGAGGCGGCUGGACUUCCCGUGCAAGGAAAAGGCUUGGAUUCACGUCCAAAACCCUAGUCAAAUUCGGAUUGGUUUUGUCCGAACUUUCCAAAACUGUUCGGUUUAAACUGGUUGCACCUUGCGGGUCUUUUUUGUGGUGGUAAACGAUCUCGGAUGGAAACGAGCCCAAAAGCAAUCUUGACCGUUUCGACGAGACGAACAACUUGUAUGUUGAACGUUUUUUGAUCAAAGGUCAUCUCGAGGUUCAAAUUGGUCGCGCAAAACAGGCUAUCCCUCGCGCUACCCAUCAGACAGGGUGUCUGGUGGGGCGCGCCAGUUUUUGCCUCGUGACAGGGCUGUAUUCUGAUGGCUCUAACUUUUGCAUACGAACUCGGAUUGGAAUGAUUUUUAUAUCAAAAUCGAUCGUUUCGACGAGACGAAGACAACCCGUGUAGAUAAUUUUUCCAUUUGAGGUCUUCUUGGGGGCUUAAUAAGCCAAACUGUACUCUGAAUAUAAGAUCUUAGUACUUUGAGCAUAGUUUCGGCCUUCGAGAUGAAAUCGGAGUGCGAUGACACAAACUUCAAAGAUGUUCAUAUCAACAAUACAGAACUCUUUCAUGAAGAUCACUUCUCCAUUUGAGGCCAUCUUAAAUAAGUUAUUGACCGUGCCAAAAUCUGGUGUCAACACAUGCCCCCCGUUUUUCGGCAAAACUUGUGUGCCGAAAAAUAACUUGCACGAAGUUUGUUCUAAGCGCGAUGUCAACACUCCAUCGGCCAUUUUGUACGUGCUUUAGACGAUAAGUAUAUAUCGGCCAUUUAGAUUAGCAACAAAAGUGAAGCUAAUCGAACAUAUAAUGAUUUGGUAAUACCCUUUCGUGAUGUAAGAAAUUAUAUUUUAUCCAUGGAUUAAAAUAAGCCCAUUGAGGGUAACCAAUCAUACCUGAUGAAGAAUUCCAUGGCAUAGGCAUGAACGGCAUUGUUGAAGAAAAUGGAUAAUAUGUGGACCGAAGAAGUUAAAACCUUCGGCUUGGUCCUUCGUAGCUUUCACUCUUUUCCUUCUUCACCUUUGUCGCACUCCUUGUAAAGGAAGCUCGCACAUAAUUCUUAUUUUGAAUAUUUCCUUUGGGAACACAUGCCAUAUUUUUCUUUUCAAGUUCUUGUGCACUCAGCUUCUGCAACUCCUUCUUUUGCCAAUACGAUAAGCCGAGUGGGCAUCCCAGCUGCGAUUUUGUUUGAAGUAAUGGCAAUUCUUGUUUUACCUUGUGCACUCUCAACUUCUUCCCUUCAGAUUUGACACUUGAUUGACUUGCCUCAUUGCCUUUUGUAGCCAAUGUCAACACUUUAAUUGGCUCUUUUCCAUUUGAGAUCAUAUCUGAAGUGGCACUCUUACGACCAUCUCUUUUGACGCGGUAGAUUUGCUCAACCACCUCCUUAUUCUUCCUUGUGCACCAGACCGAUUCUUUAUGAUUGAAAUGGUCUUUGACGCGUGAUUGUUCAAAUGUUAAUCUCCUUGGAGCUGCAUAGUAUUGGUGAGAUGGUCUAGAAUAAGAUGGAGAAUGUGCCCUUGUAUCAUACCUGUCCCAUGAUGAAUAUGUAUCUAUAUGAGCAUAGGGAGGCAUCCACGGCAUUGGCAUUGGCGGCCCAAAAUAAGGAUAUGAAUAUGUUGCAUUAAAAUUAUCACUUUGCCAAUACCAAUCCUCAUAUUUGCGUCUUGGGGGUGAUCUUGGUUUCUUUGCAUGAUUUGGCCGAUAAGCAUUCUUCUCUUCACUCUUCUUUUGAUAUUUAUUCAAUAGUUCAGCGAAGGUGAUUUUUGAUCUCUUAUACUUGCGCUUAUUUCGGCCUUUGUUUCCUUUGGUUGUGCUUGCACCAAUCAUUGGAUUUGCUUGUUGCCCCCCAGUCCUUGGCGUCUCCAUUAUAGCUUCGAUGGAAUUCUCGCCCUCAAAAUUAUGUUCAUUAUGCUCUUCAACAACUUCUUUACUUGAAAGCUUGACCCCAUCACCUGCAGUUUUUACCUCCUCUUUAAAUGGAUCGGCUUGAAGCAGCCGAUGCAAAAACUUUCUGCCAUCGAGACCAAUCGUAAUAAACUGGUCAUCUCUUGGUGUCUCAACAAAUUUCAAUCGUCCUUUAUCAAUGGCCGAUUUAACUAUUUAACGAAACAUAUUGCAAUCCUCAAAAUUAUGUUUGAACGAAUGAUGCAACCUACAAUACAUUCGUCCUUGAAUUGAUGGCUUGACAUGGUGAUCAAGAAUUCUUAUGUAAUUAUUUUUCAGCAAUAAAUUAAAUAUUUGGUCACACAUGCUUGAAUUGAAGGUAAACUUCUUGCUUUCUAGCCGAUCUUGUUGUGUGAAUGGCUUUGAAGAUAAGCAAAUGAAUGGUUCAGAUUUAGAAUCUUCUCAUUCGGCUAUACAUUGUGUUUUCCACUCUAUCUCCGGUGUCUUUGGAUAAGAUAUUAUAUUAGCAUCGGAUUUCUCAAAAGAAAUUAACCUUGGCUUUAAACUUCCGAUACGAAAAUAUUUAGAACACACAUGUCUCAAUUGAGACAAAGUGCAAGCCAAGUAAGAAAUAAGCAAAGCCACCCAACUAGAUAUGUACUUUAGAUAAAGCAACAGGGAAAGCUUUGGCCACAACAAUAAGUCAUUAUCGAUCUUUAUAAAUGGUGCAAUGGGUUGACCGAUAUAGUCUAUAACAAUUUUGUUGCUAACAAGUAAAUUACUCUUCUUCAUUGGUCUUUCAAAAUUACUUAUGAGAAUUUUUCUUAUAGAAGCAUCGACAAUAAAGUUGCGACCAAAUCGGAAUAUAGGCAAGUCACUUGCUAGACAUACCUCUUCAAUUACGUUGGGAGAGCAUGAUGGUUGUAUCACUUGAAUAAUACUUUGUUCCACUUUUGAAUGACUCUCCAAUGCCUUGGCAUCCUCUUUUUCUUUGAUAGAUUCGGUACACAUACUAUUUGAUUCGACUUUUUUAAUAACCAAAAUAACUUUGUUAUCCGAAUCACCAAUCUUUCUUUCUUUGAUUCGCAAGGUUGCUUGUUCUUGUCUAAAUUCAGCAAACAUUGCAACUAGUCUAUCUUUAAGCUUUUUUCGACCAAUUUCAGCCCAAUCUUCAUCGGAUUGCCNNNNNNNNNNNNNNNNNNNNNNNNNNNNNNNNNNNNNNNNNNNNNNNNNNNNNNNNNNNNNNNNNNNNNNNNNNNNNNNNNNNNNNNNNNNNNNNNNNNNNNNNNNNNNNNNNNNNNNNNNNNNNNNNNNNNNNNNNNNNNNNNNNNNNNNNNNNNNNNNNNNNNNNNNNNNNNNNNNNNNNNNNNNNNNNNNNNNNNNNNNNNNNNNAUUGUGCAGGGGCAACAUGAUAUGCUAUGUUACUAGGUAAAGACACAUGCGCUCUGGUAGAAUUCUCACUUAUUCGUCCAUGAGCAUGAAGGUGCGAAGCCGAAUCACGAAUAUCUACAAUUGCAUAUGGUGCCGAAAAAUUCGUAGCAUGAGGUGUAGCAUACGAUGUUUGAGGGUAAUUGACCGAAUAACUAGUAGUGGCAUGGCCAAUUCCCCUAUCCACCGGCACGUUUGGAUUAACAUACUGCAAGUUAUUUGCCGAUGAAUAAAAAGUUGAAACACUUUGUUGCAUACUAUUGGAAGUUCCUACAUGGGGUGUCUCAACAUGAUUAACCGAACUCAUCAUGUUGUUCAUCGGCAUAUAGAUUUGUGGGGUUGCCGAUGCAUGGGAGUUGGGAUACAUAUGUUGCAUGUUGCUAAAAUUAUAUGAAGUUGAAGCAUGAAGAUUAUUCUGAAUCGGCUGUUGCACAUAAUUAGAUGCAUGAUUGAUAAAACUACGGCUAGCCGAUACAAUAUGCUCAUUAGACGAUCUAGCAACAACAUAUGUAUUAUUUGCAUCUACAUAAGUGAAUUGGGUAUUCAUGUUACCUUUGUAGAUUGCAAACCCUAGAUGACGAUCUCUUCGUAGCAAGAACGAGCUGGAGACCGUUCAAAGCUUCGUCCCCAGCGGAGUCGUCAAAAAGUGUGUUUGCACACGAACACGUCACCGUGUACCCUCGACGCUGGGGGUGAUGCACCGCAGCUCACGUCAAAGGAGACCCGUCCGGAAGCGCGGUACGCAAGCAAUCCGGCGGGUGCUUUUGAGGAUCCAAAACCCCACAUGCCCGGGAGGGACCCCGUCAGGGCGCGCGACGGCUAUGGGCUGCCCUAGGUCGACCUGAUCGCCCCUAGGGCCUCGAGGUUCGCCGCCCUGCAAUGAAGAAGAACGAACGAAGAACGAGGAAGAAGAAGAACUAGGGUUAAGGAGAAAAGAUAAAAGAUAAAAGUGGUAGAUGAUUUGUUCGAUUGUGUGUUGUUCAAUCGGCCGUCACCCCUUAGGUAUAUAAGAGGCGGCUGGACUUCCCGUGCAAGGAAAAGGCUUGGAUUCACGUCUAAAACCCUAGCCAAAUUCGGAUUGGUUUUGUCCGAACUUUUCAAAACUGUUCGGUUUGAACUGGUUGCACCUUGCGGGUCUUUUUUGUGGUGGUAAACGAUUUCGGAUGGAAACGAGCCCAAAAGCAAUCUUGACCAUUUCGAUGAGACGAACAACUUGUAUGUUGAAUGUUUUUUGAUCAGAGGUCAUCUCGAGGUUCAAAUUGGUUGCGCAAAACAGGCUAUCCCUCGCGCUACCCAUCAGACAGGGUGUCUGGUGGGGCGCGCCAGUUUUUGCCUCGUGACAGGGCUGUAUUCUGAUGGCUCUAACUUUUGCAUACGAAUUUGGAUUGGAACGAUUUUUAUAUCAAAAUCGAUCAUUUCGACGAGACGAAGAUAAUCCGUGUAGAUAAUUUUUCCAUUUGAGGUCAUCUUGGGGGCUUAAUAAGCCAAACUGUACUCUGAAUAUAAGAUCUUAGUACUUUGAGCAUAGUUUCGGCCUUCGAGAUGAAAUCGGACUGCGAUGACCCAAACUUCAAAGAUGUUCAUAUCGACAAUACAGAACUCUUUCAUGAAGAUCACUUCUCCAUUUGAGGCCAUCUUAAAUAAGUUAUUGACCGUGCCAAAAUCUGGUGUCAACACAUUCACUGAAACUUGAUGCAUACUACCCUCUCCGUUCCUAAAUAUAAGUCUUUUUAUAGAUUUCAAUAUGGCCUACAUACAGUGGCCGAGCCAGCUCGGCCGGUGAGCCGGGGCAAAGUCCAGGACGCUCCUGCCUGCCGUUGUUUGCCCAUGCAAAAUGAUGCUUGGCUCUCCAUUAAUUACUACUGAUCAAAGGAGAAUGCAUGGCACAGCCCGGGCAGCUGCCCCGGCUAGCCGGGAGGUGGCUCCGCCACUGCCUACAUAGAAAGCAAAACGAGUGAAUCUGCACUCUAAACUACGUCUAUAUACAUUCAUAUGUAGUUUAUAUUGAAAUAUUUAAAAAGACUUAUAUUUGAAAACAGAUGGAGUAGUAUUAGUGAAAAGAGUUUGUUACCUUUCUAAGGUACUUGGCAUGAAGUUUCAGUGGUCCAGCACAGGCCGUCAACACUUAGUAGCGCUCUUCAUAUUCGCCCUCUCUACUUGCCAAAUUGACGGGUUGAUUUUACUCUUGGUUUAUAUCCUUGAGCACUUCUAUCAGUUGCAGGCCUGCUCUCUUUUCAUACGUGGACAACAUGCCAGGAUCAUAUUCUAGAGCCCACGUCAUCUACAAAUAGCAAACAUGAUCAUUGAUCAGUGUUCACCAACCAGGGUCAAUCUUUGUAAAGCAGAGUUAUUAUGAAACUUAAAGAAACAUGAAGUGUUGUUCCUUAACACAUGACAACCAGGGUCAUAGUUGGCUGGCCUUUUACUGGACACCUCCUUUACAGAGAACAGUUUGCAACAAUGCUAAUAACUAGCUAGCGCUUAAAAAAUCCAUGGAUUCAACCCAACUAAGCUUGAGUGUGUGAUUGUUUACCAGUGGUAACCAUCUUGACCGUUUUUGGCUGGCUGGUAAUAGCAUUCGCUUUAUUUUGUGGACACAAAAACAACCCUGGCCACACAAAAGCCAGUAGGGAAUAUGCAUUCUUUUUCUUUUCUUUUCUUUUUGAGGGGAGAAAUAUGCAUUCUGUUGGAUGGCUUCCAUGACUAAACCUGAUUUUCAACACCUUUGAACAAAGUCAUGGUAUAAAUAAAGAGAAUGAAAGAAAACAUCUGAAUAUGACAACUAAAACAUAGUGAAAGUGCAGUUAAACUACUGUGCCGAAUUUGGUUCAUAGAUCACCCGCAAGAUUUAGGAUUCUCAAACAGAAUAAAACCCACAAGAUUUAUUCAGCACAAACUUUGAUCUUUUACCAUACCAUUUCUAGGGGCGUAAACAUACACAGCUUCGACGGUUUGUUCGAAUUUUCCCCGAGCUUAAGGAACAUACCAGAGUGUGAAUACAAGACUCAUCUAUCUUUUACUUUACUUCCCAUCAAUCAAAAAAACAGAGAAAAAACAUAUACUUUACUUGUCGACAGAGAGCACCUGGCCUUCUUGUAGUGCUCAUGCUUCUUGUCUUCUUUUUCCUUUUGUCGACACCUGUUUUCUACCCACAGGAUGUAUCUUGUCAAAUUUUAUUGAAGCGUCCGGCCAUAAAAUACGUUUGAACUCUGCUCCACUCAUGGUCUCCCUUUUUUUUUGUUGAGAGCCUUGCCAAGAUGCUCCCCGCGUCGCCCCCGCUCGUGGACACAGGCGGGGACGAAACCCUAGCCGUCGGGGCUCUCCCUCCUUCCCUCCCUCCCUCCCUCCGCCGCCGCCGAAGGACGACGCCGGCCUACAGCCGGGGGAGGGGGGGCGACUGAGGUGGCGGGGGCUCCCACCAUGGGAAUGGUGCGAAGCCCCGCUGCGUGAGGAGGCGCAGCCGAUCUGGCCUUGGCGGCGCGGCGGCCGGCUCUGCCUCGACCGUCGACGGCUGCGAGCGUGCUAGCCUGCCUUGCUUCGGGCUGCGGUGUUGGCUGCAUUAGGCGGCGGCAACCGGAUCUGCAUCAACAGGCCAUCUGACCUCGGAUUGGCGGCGGUGGCAUGGAGGGCCUGGUGGACGUGUUGGCACAAUGAGUAGUGUGGCCUCUGGGCAGAUCUGAUCUAGCCGGUAUGGCCUGGUUGCUGCGCGGCGGCUCAGUUCGGUUGUGACCCGCACACACGAUGGUUGAUGGAGGUUCGUCGAGCGGAUCCCGGUGAAAACCUCGUUCUCAACUUGUUGCCAAGACCGGCGAUGGCGGCACUCUUUUGUGGCAAUAUCUUUUUGGAGGCAUCAUCGUGGAGAAGGUUCAGACAUCUAUCUGCUACUUCCGGGGAAACCCUAGACAUCUAUCUGCUACCUCCGAGGAAACCGUAGAUCAGUAGAAGUACUGCUCUACUGAAGAUGGUAGUCAAUCUUUGUUUGCAAAGCAGAGUUAUUAUGUAACUUAAAGAAACAUGAAGUGCUGUUUCUUGAGACAUGACAACCAGGGUCGUAGUUGGCUGGCCUUUUACUGGACACCUCCUUUACACAUAGCAGUUUGCAACAAUGCUAAUAACGUAAAAAUCCAUGGAUUCAACCCAACUAAGCUUGAUUGUGUGAUUGUUUACCAGUGGUAACCAUCUUGACCCUUUUUGGUUGGCUGGUAAUACCAUCCGCUUUAUUUUGUGGACACAAAAACUACCCUCACCACAAAAAACAGUAGGAAAUAUGUAAUCUGUUGGAUGGCUUCCAUGACUAAACCUGUUUUUUAACACCUUUGAACAAAGUCAUGGUAUCAUUAAAGAGAGUGAAACAAAACAUCUAAAUAUGGCAUCUAAAACAUAUGGUUCAUAGAUUAGGAUUCUCAAAUAGAAAAACCCACAACAUUUAGUAUUCAGCACAAUCUUUGAUCUUUACCAUGCCAUUUCUAGGGGCAUAAACAUACACAUCUUCGACUGUUUGUUCGAAUUUGCCACAGCUUCCGCUGCGAGGGAACAUACCAGAGUUUGAAUACAAGACAAUGAGACUUUUGAAUUCUCUUUCAGCUAUAGUACAUAAAGCCACAACACACGAAGCCUCUUCUGAACUUUUAACUAUGGCUACUGCUCCCUGUCCUGUUAUAUCCAGGGAGAUUCAGAUACAACUCUCAAGCUUGCUAUUUCCUUGCUGCAAGCCUGCAAACCUCAUAGGUUCCUGUCAGUGUUUGUUUGGGUCAGCCGCGGACAUUGUUGCUUGGUCAUAGCGACCGCCUUUCACGGUGCCUCCUGAAGAAGCGGUGGCUCAGGGCUUCCUGAGCGGUCAGCCUGGCCGAAGGCUCGUAUGCCAGGAGGCCCUGCAGCAGCCCGAUCAGGUCCCCAGCAGAGUGAUCCACAUGCUGCAUCACCAGGUUCUGCAUUGCAGGAUUGGAUGAAGUGGUUAUAAAACAAUCUAACAAACUUAAGCAAAUACCGUGUCACUGCGGCAGAGAAACAAAAAUACAUCUUGAAUACAAACAAGGAAACUUAGGAGCCACUGGCACUAGAUUUCAGGGCGAGAAAAAAUUGGAAUGCCCCAGAAACUAAUAGGGAAGCUCGUCCUGUUUGCGUACCUGGAGGCGAGGCAGCUUGAGAACAGCUCUCAUGCUCUCUCGUGUCGUUGCACCUUCUGGCCAGUUCAACCUUCCUCUUCUGAUGUACUUCUGCGCAUGGUGGCUGAAUUUACACAAGGCAAAAAGGUCAACCAUCAAAACUAAUCACAUAGGUGGCAUUAGAUCCUAAUGUGGCAAUAACACAGGUAGUGGAUAAUUAAUAAACAUACUCGGCUCUUUCCAGCAUGUGCCGUGGGAGAGGACCUAGAACCCUCUCCAUCAUCGCCAAGUGCUCCAAGUUUUCAUGGGUCUGGAAUAAUGUCUCGCCCUGUAAUACAUAAGAGGCCAGUUCAAUCAUACAUGCACAUGAACCUUUCCCAAGACAAAGACAGACAAGAGAUACAAACACAUACCGAGCAAAGCUCAACGAGUAUACAACCAAUGCUCCAUAUAUCACAUGGAUAGCUCCACCCGUGCCCUAACACAAGACCAGGGAAAGUCAGCUCCAGUAUUUGAUAAAACAAUCAAAAGUAUGUGCCCCUAAUAGCCAGUCAUGUCCAAAUCCAUACCCAAAAUAACCUCAGGAGCACGGUAGUGCCUAGUAGAGACAAUGUAGCUACAGUCUUGAUGAUCAUAUGCUGUGCUACCAAAGUCGAUUAACUUGAUCGCACUUGAUUUUGGCACCUUCUUUGAGAAUGAUCCAUCCUAGAUUUUAAACAUAUAUACAAUUAGGAAAAAUAAAGCAGCGUGUUGUAUUUAACACAGAACUAUACUGAACACGACUUUUAUCUGCUUUGAACAUGGUGCAAAUUUUAAGGGGAAAAAAUUCCUGCAACUUAACGGUUAUUCGGUAUUAUGCAGUGGUAAUACAUACCUUGUUUUCAGCUAAUUUAGCAUCCUCUGAAGAAACAAGGAGAAUGUUCUCUGGUUUUAGAUCAGUAUGAAUUAACUUCAGGCCAUGCAUAACUGCAAUGAGGUAAGAUAAAUAUCAAGAUACAUGACACGGAAGCAUAUGAACCAAAUUAUGAGCACCCAAAUACACACAAAAGCAGAUAGCCUAAAAAUCAGGAAUAAAAGAGAAGAGAAAAAUGCAUGCGGAAACUUCUACUCAUUUUUUCCGAAAAUGACAGAAAAAACCCAGUCCAAGAUAUGAUAUAGAAGAAUAAGCGCACAGAGAAAAAGAAAAGCAAACAAAUAGAGAAUCUUAAUAGAAAACAAAGCAAGUACAAAAUAUAUGAGGUUUCAAAGGUACAGUCUCUACACACAUGCGACAGAUUCCAAAAGUUGCUCUCCAAGCUCACGAACUAGGUCGAUUGGAAAUGGGCGGUAGGCAGUUUUCCGCAGAAAGUCAUACAAGCUUGGGCCAAGCUUCUCGCAUACCUGUUGAGUCAUUGAAAUUUAUUGACUAACUGGACCCCAAGUCUAACAGACAAGUUGGGGAAAUUCUAUGAAUCAAGCAUAUGUACUUACAAUACAAAUAUGGUUACGAUAGUCAAACCAGUUCCGUAUUUGCACACAGCUGCAAAAACACUCAGGAGUAUGUAACUUAUUUCUUUAGCAACAUGACACAAAAAAUAAAUACACAAUUUAGUCCAUCCCGUACUUAUUUAUUUAUUAGCUUCCUUGUGGAGGUAGAAGAGUUAGAUGUAUAACUUACUGUUUUCCUGUGGCGUCAUUUCUUGCGAGCUUCUGCAGCACAUCAAUCUCUAUCAUUGCUGCGUCACUGUAUUUGUUUACAGCACGAACAAUUUUAAUAGCUACCAUUUCUUUUCUUUCUCUGUCCCAACAUUCCAGUACCUGACCAAAAGUACCUAAACAGACAGAGAUAUUCCAAUGUUAAUGUAAAUAUAAAAUGGAAGCUAGUUACUAGACAAUAUCAGGUGGAUCUGAGCAACAUUGGUGCCACAAGUUCAUUAAUUUAAGAUUUCACAAAUCUAUACUCGUGACCAUAAGAAAAUACUAACCUUCGCCCAUCUUUCUGUAUAUUUUAUCUGCAAAAAUAGUGAGAAGGGGUAUGAGAGCAGAGCCUUCUAAGGAGCUCAAUAAUUUAAGACAAUUUGUGCAAAUAAAGAUAACUAGCAUGCACUUUGCAAAAAGACAUGUUUGUGUUAACACUAAGACAUAACAGUAACAUCAUCUGGUGCAGCUACAAAAUAGGCCAGCAUGUAAAACCUUGUAGACUUCAAACAACCCGAAACCAAGGAAAUAAGGUCAAAUGUAAAAACCCUACACAAGAAAAGGGGAAAUCCAAAAACUAUUUGGAAAUUCGAAGAUGGAAAACAAAUUUGAGUUAACAUGAAACUAAUUAUAUCAACCUGUUUUUUUUUUGGUAAAAGAAGUUAAAUCAUAGAUUUUAAGGUACUUGUUGACAGAACAUUACAUGAGUAACCAAGGAACAUAAGGAGGUACCAUAAGUCUGCAGAAUGGAAAAAUUCAACAUACAGAUACAUCUCUAGUUUUCUGUAGUGCAGUUUAACAAAUGCUAAAACAUUUUUUUAUUAAAAAGGGAAAAGGGAAAUGGAAAAAAGAAGUUUCCUGCAGGCUAAGGGUCACAAACACAGUCAUUAUACUCAAAUAAUGAUGGUCAAGUGUAAUUACAGCGAGAGGUCAAAUUCUCUCCAACAGCAAAUACAUAAUGGCCAUCUUUAUCGUCUUCUCUCCGAGGAGGGGAAGCAUUUCGAGCAACACCCUUUGAGAGCAGAGAGAAGCAAGUAUAGUCCGGAGGAUGUGACGGCAAUACCAUGGUGGUCAUAUCGCCAACUUCUUGCCCACAAAAUGUUAUCUGAGCCUACACACAUCGAUCACUCAAGUUUUUCAUGCAGAAAAGAGAAUAUAAUACCCAUCUGAUGUUAAUGUUCUCAAGUGGAACACAAAAUAAACAAAGCACAGACACAGUAAUAAACCUGUAGCAUUUAUAGCAUCAUGCAAAAAUAUCUUACCUGAAAGCACUCAUGUUAACAAAGAAAAUGACACUUAGUAUGCUACACGAUACUUGUACGUGUAAAUUUGAGCCAGUAAUACACUGCCGAAUAUUCUGAACAUGAAAUCCAUAGUUCUCACUAGAUGAAGCGAGGUAUGUUAGACGAUAAUAAUGAAGAUCCACCCAAGUAUUUCACAUAUAUUUUAGGCAGUGAAUAUAGGUGCAUCAAGUUAAACAUGAAUUGUACUAAAUUCAACAACAUCAUGAUAAGCUGAAAGUUCUACGAAAUUAAGCACCCGGACUCAAGCAAAGCCUGAGAGAACCACAGACAAAAGAAAUUACAGGGGUAAUUUGGUCCGACAUCCUAAUUUGACCGACGAUGGCCUGUAACAGCUCUACACAAUCGCAGAGCCAACGGUAUCUGCAGUUCGAUCAAUCAAUCGCAGCCUAAGCAGGUCUGGCAUCAGACACACGACACUCUAAACGUUGGAUUCUGCGCCAAAAUUCCCGCUAAGCACACCCCCCGCGAGCUAGAUCUAGACGGACCGCGCCUCGUCCAGCUCAUGCUACGCCUCGGAACAGAAACAAAAGGCCCUGAUCAUGCUAGGGCUAACGAAACCGCGGAGGAAUUCCGUCGAAUCGCGCCCCGAAUCCGCGGAUCGGGUCAGAGCAGAGCAGAGCAUACAGGGGGGAAUGGGGGCGUCUGUUUACCUUGGUCGCUGGCGCGACGUCCCAGCCGUGGCGGGCCCGCUUGCGGGGGCGGCCGGCGGGCAGAUCGGCCGCGGCGGCGCACCUGGUCGCCAUCGGUGCGUUCGAAUUGGGGGGAUUUGGUGGGAGCACGGGAGGGAGGCGAGGUGGGGGAAACGCGCCAAAGGGGAAAGUGUGAGGCCGGUUGCUAUGUAGGGAGGGGGGUGGGUUGGGUUGGGUUGGGUGGGGAUCGGAUGCUGCCGGGUUUGACUUUUGACCCGGCCAGCGGCGCCAAGAUUCGUGCCAGGCCUGAGGUUAGGUACUCCCUCUGUAAAUUAAUAUAAGAGCGUUUAUAGAUCACUAAAAUAGUGAUCUAAAUACUCUUAUAUUAGUUUACGGAGUGGGUACUUACUACAGGGUUGGGAAUUUUUGUAAACCUGGUUUUUAUGGAAUUUGCAACGUUUAAUUGUUUUUCUCAAUAAAGGGUUGCACAAACUAUAUCAGGCGCAUACGAAACCGAACUGAGGGUUUAUACAAGUUUUCAUUUGAUGUGACUCUCUUCUUUUUCUAAAUAUAAGAUCUUUUAAAGAUUUUAAUAUUCACUCAGUUUGCUCCGUAUGUAAUCUAUGUUAAAAUCUCUAAGGGCAAGUCCAACGCGAGCGCUAAGCAAGGGGCGCCAGGGAUUAAAUCCUACUCCCUCCGUUCGAAUUUAGAUGACUUGCAUUUGUCCACAUUAGAAUGCAUCUAUACUUGUAUAGUGUCUAGGUACAUCCGUUUCUAGACAAAUGAAAGUCAUCUAAUUUGGAACGGAGGGAGUAGUAGUUUUGGCAGUUUCCAUAUUUUUCCCGGUUUGUUUUUUGGCAUCGAUGCCCAGCGAGGAGUCGGACGCUUGAAAAAAAAGUAUAAAAUCCAGCUCCUAGCGACCAGGCGCUUGUGCUAUGCAGUAAAUCUUUAUUUUAUUUAUCUUAAGCGCCUCAACUAGCAUCUGUGCAUUGUAGAUGCCCCUAACCAGUCUUAUAUUUAGAAACGAAGGGGGCACAUUCGACGUGCCAUAUUGUGGGUUGAACUUGCUUUAUGUGGUGAUUUCAAGAAGCCAAAAAGGGGGGGGGGCAUGACAAUGAAUUUCUUCCUUUGGGACCUAAAUCAAAAAUACAAUUCGAGGCAAAAAAAUGCAAGAGUUUUUUUGCCAUGCUUAUCACAUGCACAUGUUAUUGGCUUGAACCCUAAACAUAUGAUCAUAUCUAGAAUGUUAUGAACUUGCGAGGAUUCUAGCAAUAUAUAUGUCCAUGCAUAGAUGACCAGUAAGGCACUGGAAAAUUGAUAUGAUAAUUGACAAAAAACAGAUGCACACCCACCGAUUACAGACCUUCCAGGACAAGAAUGGAAAGGAUGAAGCAAAGAGCGGUGCCAACUUCUGAGGGAAGGGGCGGAAAUCAUGAAGAAACCACCAAAUGAAAAUAUACUCUAGAAUUUUCUACUCCCUCCGUUCUUGAAUAUAAGCCUUUUUAGAGAUUCCAAUGCGGAUUACAUAUGAAGCAAAAUAAGCGAAUCUACACUCUAAAAUAGGUCUAUAUACAUUCGUAUGUAGUCCUUGCCGAAAUCUCUAAAAAGACUUAUAUUUAUGAACGAAGCGGGUAUUGGUUACAACUAAUCUAGAAAAUCUUACUAUAGAAACUCUAUUAGGGUAUUUCUUGCAUUUGUGGAUAUAUAUACUCCUUCCGAUCUUUUUACUCCGCGUAUUAGAUUUUAUUCAAGUCAAACAUUGCAAAGUUUGACCAACUUUAUAUAAGAAACUAUCAACAUCUACAAUAUCAAAUAUAUAUACUAUGAAAUUAUAUUUCAAAACGAAUCUAAAAAAAAUUGACAUCGUGAAUAUUAAUAUUUUUUCUAUAUGUUUGGUCAAAGUAAAGAUACUUUACUUUGAACAAAACUUUUAUGCAGACUACAAAAGACCGGAGGGAUAACAUAACCCACAUGGCUAAUAAUGCUAUACUUAUACACUUCAUAUUUGAAAGCGCAAACAUUUGGAUUGUAUAACAGCACACUUCGAGUUACAAUGUUGGUUGUGGUUAGAAUUGCAAGUUAAUGCAUGUAUCAUCAAAAAAUAAAGUUAAUAUUUAGCGAGAAAAUGAUCUAUGAGAAGAUAAAAAUAUUUAGUAUAUAUAAGUGAUGGUUUGCUUACCAUUUUACCUUUUGUGGCCCGUGAUUCGUCGAAGUAGAGUGACUUUAUAUUAUAUUCCUACUUACUUAAUGACAUCUUAUUUGUCGAAGGUGUCAAGUUGUAAUUUGCUAAACAUUUAAUAAAAAGAUUGUUCGUAGUCACAGAAUCGAGAUUUGCAAAACACACUAGACUGGAGCAACCAGACCGAAAAUAAAGCACAUUUGCCCUUGUGUUGCUCGAUCAGGUGACACUCGCACCCAAAUUCAUGUCACCUCCAAAUCAUACGUACUCGGCAACAGUAUGCGCGUACCCAACAUCAACGUUAAAAGAUUGGUCUGGUUGAUCGUACAAAGUAUUAGAGCGGAAGGACACAUGAAUGAGCUAAAGGUGGAGCCAUGCUAACUUAAACUAUGUGCAUUGCUUAGUGUUAUGAGUUGUGUUAUUUAUGUACUACGUGCAUGCCAAAAGUCCACUACUUGAUGCAUACUUUCAUAUGUCAUCAUUAUUUCUAGGCAUUCAGCGAGAAGUGUCAGCCAACAACUUAAACAAAGUAAAAACAAAGAAGGAAGAAAUUUCUUUGUAAGGAAAAAUGAAUCAUGGGAGUGGAUUAACAAAUACAAAUUUGAAAAUCAAAUUAAUAUAAUGCAACUAUCUGUAACAUAACUGAACACAAAAACUUCUAGUUUCUCUAGCCUUCUCAUUCCCCAUAUACUAAUAUAAUAAAAUAAAAAAAUAACAAAAAACAAAGUUUUCUAAGGAAUAGCGAAUUACUAGCAUUGCUAAGACAAUGAAAAUAACUAAAACAAAUAAUGAUGAAAUCUGCACACAAUUUACAUAAAAAUUGUGUAUAAUAUGCAAAAAUAAUUACUAUAUAACAGUGAAAUUGUUGCAAAAGUAAGUUUUCUAAAUAAAUAAUGAAUUAUUGGCAUCAAUAUUUGAUCCAUGACUUCCGUACUACUCAAAAAUAAAAUAAUAAAGUAUUCUAACAAAAUAAUAACUAAAACAAAAUCAAAAUAAUGAAGUUUUCUUCUAAAAAAAUAAUGAAUUAGUGGCAUUGGAAUUACCCUUUAAGAAAAAAAGUUACAUAAAAACUAAAACUAAGUCAAAAUAAUGAGGUUUUGUAAUGAAGAAAGAAUUAGUGCAAUUGGUAUUACCAUUUAAGAAGAAAGAAGAUGAAAAAAAAUCUAAAACGAAUAAUGACAAAAUGUGCACAUAAUUACAUAUUUUUUAAUAUGCAAGAGUAAGCAUAUAAUAGUGGAUUUUUUGCAAAAGAAAAAAGAAGUUUCCUAAGUAGUAAUGAAGUGGACGGGUAAAGUCUAAAGACAUGAAAUAACAAUCAUCAACAAUCGCACCUGUGAUAGAAGAAGAGUUCCCCUCAUGCAUGGUUGUGAUCACAUCCAUAUUAUCUGAAUUGAUCGCAAUUUUAUUGCAGCCAAUCGGGCAAGCUACAUUCAAACCAAGCAUCAAAGAAAUAGCCUCCGUUGUGAAUGCAUCAUAACACACAUCAACUCUUUCAUUUGCAGCUGUAAUAAACUUCCCAUCACUGUCUCUCAAAACAGCACCAACCGCAACUUGCAUCGAAUCAAGCGACUUACGUGUAGCUAAAGUGUACCUGGUUUUAUGUUAUGACCAUAUGUCGCAUGCCGGUAUCAUAGUCUCCGGGUUUGUACGUCUAUGUGAGCAAAAAAAAUAAUUCUUUCUCCACUUAUCGUGACAUCGAAUCUAAACAAUAAGACAAAUCAAUAGAUCAACCAUCUGUACAUCGAUGAGUGAUGUGCCAUGUGCUACCUCCACGGCCUCAACAUCACAAUCCUAACAUGGACAAUGGAUAGUACCGUUGCAAACAUGUAUGGCACAAACCAGUUUGAAGGUUGGGUAUUUUUUUAUCGGGUUGGGUGGACGAGGAAUGAUUGCAUGUGGUCAUUAUUAUUGUUUAACGGACUUUCCACUUCAAGUAAGGAUCUUGUUCCUUCUAGCAGUGGCGGAUCUAGGAUUUGACAAUGUGGAGGCAACAAUGAACAACAUUACAAUGGCUAGAAAAAAAUACACUACACUACACCAAAAAUUGUAUGAUGGACAAACAUUGCACUAGUGAAAAAAAUGCUAAAUCCGCCAAUGCCUUCCAGUAAACUCACUUCGGAGGGCUUCACUUUGCAAUUACAAUGUACUUGAACUCUUUCUAUCAAUGGCAAUAUACACAAAGUAUUUGCGUAUUUGUAAAAAAAAAAGCAUGAUCAUAAGGACAGGAAGUGAGUGAAAGGCAAGCCAUUUUCUAAGUAAGCACGUAAGCCAUUUGCUAAGUAUACACCCGUGCAAUGAUUUGUCUUGCACGUUGGCAACCAUUAUCUUGUUCAUUUUGUGGUCUCCACCAUCUACUACCACAUUUCGGGUUUAUAAGGGUCACGCGUAUCUCUAGGUCCAUGAUUUAACCAACGUAAUAUGAGUUUUAUAUCAUUGGAAACUUCAAAUGUUCUAUUUUCUAAUGGUAUAACUUUGUGUAUACAAUUUAAUUAUAUUGAUCAAAUUAGCAAUGUAGGGAUACACGUGGGCCUUUUAAACCGGAAGGGAGGCAGUAUUUAUCACAAGCCUUGAGACCAAGGAGCAAGAGAAUCUGGAAAAACAACCAAAAUUAAGAGCUAAUGUUAUACCAUAUGGAUUAUAUUUGCCACCAAAAAACACUGUUGUGGAUGAGCAGAACCCCACUUACCGCAGAUCAAGGAGUAAAAAAUGACAUCGCCUAUGUCGGUAGCAAAUAUGAUAUUCCUUUUUCAUCUAUAUGAAAAUACGUGACUUUACUGUUUGAAGAUUCGCCAUGUUGCCUUUUUUGUGCUUUAUUAUUUGCAUUUUAUUUUUUGUUAGGAUUUAUAGCAUAGUCUAAAUGAGAUCAUAGUCGGAAGUAUAUCGAACAGUGCAAAAAUAUUGGAAACAACUUGUAUUUGUAGAUCAAGUAAAUAUAGUUAAAACACAAAAGAUCAAGCUAAUCAUAUGUCACAUUAUAAUUAUAAGACACCAAACAACCGAAGAAGUCAUGAAUGGAGUACAAACACUGAAACCAUUAACGUGUUUUCAAUCCAAAACAGUGUUGCAUUUGCUAGAUUUACAGCAAAGACUCAUAAAUAGUUUAGAUAACACAUAUAUUAGAGUCCAACAGUAUGCUUCAUUCAGCAGUUCACAUGGGGAGGUAAGCAUUACAACAGUUACAUUUUUCUUUAUCCACCAGUAUCAAUGUCACUUACAUUUAAUAGUAUUGCCAGGACAAAAGCCAUAUGAAUUUUCUCUCAAUGACAACACCAAAAGUCAAAAUAAUAAAUUCAUGUGGAUUUUGCUUCGCAAAACAGCUCACUGCGAGGAGUCAAAAACACAUUUCAGUGUCCGCCAUUCCAUCAGAGCCUACAAGCAAUAGCUUGUCAGGAUAUGCUUCGAUGUGCCCAAACGCACUGGUGCCGGGAGGACACUCCAGCGCCGCCUCAAGGGUGCGAUGGUGCACGCCGUGGGAGUCCACAGAGUAGCCACCUUUGUGGUCGUGCCCGGCGAAGCAGGCCUUAACACAGUUGUACUGUCGAACAACAGCCAUCACCUCAUCAUAAUUCCACAUGAGGCAUACCGGGGACGCUGCUACAGGAUCCAAUGGGAGGUGACUGCACAAGACCACAUUCUGCCGACGCUCCGAUGCAUCCCGUAGGACAUCACUGAGCCAGGACAGCUGCUCCUUUCCAACCGCGCCAUUGAACAUCACGAACCGCUGGUCGACGCCCACCAGACCCUCGGGGCUGUUCUUGUCGGUGUUUGGGUUCUUUUCUUCAAGGAGCCUCAUUGCUGCUGCAGUCACUGGAUGAUCACGAGGCCAGCCAAGCGUGCUGAAGUCAUAAGCAUCCAGAACAACAAAUCUGUACUCAUGACACGGCGAGAAGUCAUAGUAAGCACGGUCAGAACCCGUUGGCAUCUUCAUCAAAGCCACUAGCUCGCUCCGAGGAAGAUUGUAGAGGCAAUGGUUGCCAAACAUGUGGUAGGUCGGGCCUUCGAACUUCUCAAACUCGCCGAGGACCUUCUGCACCGCCCACAACGACUUGUCCUUUGGGCAUUUCCCGUCGACGAUGUCACCGAAGUUGAUGGAGAACUCGACACCACCUUGCUUGUUCCACGCACUCACAGCGCUCUGGAGGACGUCGAUGCUGUGACGGUAGUAGCGCGGGAUGCCAGCGAAAGAGUGCCCGUCCGGGAUGUCGGCGUACUGGACAUCUGCAAUGACACCAAAGGUAAACAGGGGCUUGUGGGCAGAAGCAUGGAAUAGCCCGUUCGUUGCCGCCAUCAUUGAACUUUGGUGUCACCAGACCUUCGAAAACCUCCCUUCUUCUUGUUGUCUGCGAGGAACCGAACCUACAUACAAGCAGUGAAAAGAUCUCUGCGCAAGAACCUACAAGAGAAGCCAAGCAAUAUUUGUUCAGGACUCUGUAUCGGUGAGGGGAAUAUUACAGAGUACAGAGCACUCUGUUUAUCAGAGCAAAAUGUAAAGCAGAUAGCAGGCUGGAUAGCAGUAGCAUAGCAGUAAAAGUUCCAAGUUAUUCUUGUUCCAAGAUUAUAGUCUACAGUUUCAAUUUCCCUUUUCAAUCAUUUCCACUGACUAUAGAUGAGACCAGCUCCAAAUACUGAAUGAACACUGCAGCAUUGCACACUAGUGUGCAUCUCAUGCAAUUUCCCAUUGUCAAGCACCGGGAGCUAAACCCUGGCCUGAAUUGCUGAUAAAAUCACUUAGGCGACCCGCCGUAGCCGAAACUAGCGAUUCGCACGGAAGGGAAUACGCAGCCGAGCUGUAUGUGAUAGGAGCCUACGGACUGUGACGACCACAGAAGGAAGGAGGCAGGGGAGGAUGGAUUACCGGCGCAGCGAGGGAGUCGGGGCCUCGAGGGUAGCCGGACUCGGGAGCUGGUUUGGUUGCUCCCGGAUCGGAGGGCGGACGGCGGAGAGUCGGAGCCUGGAUGGGGAGGGGAAGGGGCGGAGUUAGGAUCUUGACGAAAGCUUCUCUGCUCGUCUCCGUCGGUUGGGGAGAGACGAGACGGACCACACGGGCGUCCCUAUGUCUCGCGAGGCCACAGGCUCUUUUUCUGUUUUUUCUCUGUUCUACUAGUUUUUUGCUUUAUUUUUGUACUUUUAUUUACACUUUAAAAUAUUAUAAAUAUAUACUAUAUUGCAAGAAACAAAAAAGGCAGCCCAGUGUAUGUAGCUCCUGCUUGCACAGGGUCCGAGAAAGGGUCCGACCACUUGACUUGAACCCGUGACCUCAUGAUCACAAGGCAGUAGCUUUACCACUACGGCAAAGCUCCCUUUCAUAUUGCAAAAACACUCUAUAAAAAAAUAUUUGAAAAAUGUUGAACAAGUAUUUAAAAAAUGUUGAAUGAGUAUUUGAAAAAUGUUGAAUAUGUAUUUGAAAUUUUUGAAAAAGUAUUUGGAAAAUGUCGUACAAGCAUUCAGACAAUGUUGAACGUGUAUAGAAAAAUGGACGCGUCUAGUGGGCGGCCGGUUGCCCACUAGUGCGAUCGAGCGGCCGGCGAAAAAAGGUAAACCCCUGUCCCCCGCGGUACAGAAAAGGAAGGGGACAUGCGGCCACCAAACCAAGCAGAUCGAGCGCCCAAACCCCAACAGAAUCGCUCCCCCCCCUCACGUGGCCAGCUGUCCCCAGCUAGCACCGCCCUUUUUCCUCCUUCUGUAUAGCCGCCAUGGCAAUCCAAGAGUAGAAGAAACUACUUCAAGAGCCAUAUCAACGGUAGAAGAGGGUCCAAGGCCCUUCUCCACGCCAGAAGGGAUCCAAGGGCCUUCUUCCUCCUCCUGAUCAGGCAAGUAAAUCCCCUUUGCCCCUCUUCCUCCUCCUGUAGUGCAUCUGUAAACCCCCUUAUCCAUGGAUCUAUCAGCAAAUCCAUGGAGGAGCUGGACAUGCAGAAGGACUGGAUCUGCCACAUCCCCCUAUUGUCAAACAUCACACCCCCACCCCCACGCCCCCACAAGUGCAUCUGCACACUAAACAUGGUUUGAGAUCAAGUUUAGUAGAAACUGAACAUGUUUUCUAAACUGUAGGUGUUCAGCUAGCCAACUAAGACAGAUUUUCUGGCCAACUAAAACAUGUUUCUAGCUAACUCAAUAAGCAAAAGUAGCCAAAAACUAAAAUGCAUUCUACCAAGUUGUAGUUAUGUUUACACACAUUGACUAUCCAAAGAGUAUGUGUAACUAAAAAUGCAUAUAUGUGCAACUGAACAUAGAUCUCAGCCAACUGAAUCAUGUGUUCUAGCAACUCAACAUGCAUGCUAGGCAGACUGAACAUGUAUCAUGAACAUAUAACCUGCUUUCUGAGUGAACACUUUAGAUAGGCUUUAGAAAAGCUGAAGUAUGUGCAAUAAAAAACAUGUUUUCUGGCCAACUAAACAUGCAUGUUGGCUAAACUGAAAAAUUAUAUCCUGGACAACUGAGACAUCUAUUCUAGGCAACUGAACACAUUGGCUGACCAACUGAACAUGCAUGUUGGCCAAACUGAAAAAAUGCAUCCUGACCAACUGAGAUAUCUAUUCUAGCCAACUGAACACAUUGACUGUCCAACUGAACAUGCAUGCUGGCCAACUUUAAAAAUGCAUCUUGGCCAACUGAGACAUCUAUUCUAGCCAAAACCAAAAAUCUGUAGUACGACAGCAAAAACACAAGAACUUUUAUCCAUAACUAAUGAAGCCACAAACCAUAUUAAAAUAGUCACGCAUAUAAUCUUGUCCCACACAUAUAUUCUGGUCCCACACCUAUUGCAAAACUAUAGUGUAAAAAUAUAUUCAAUAUACUAGAAGUAAAAACAGAAACGACUAUAAUCUGUCAUCCAAUUCUUCUUUCUUCUUUCACCUGAAUUUUCCAUCUCAAAUGUAGCAUCAAAUUAUGUCCAAAUUAUCUGCAGAAAAAUCUGAAUCAGCUCUUUGCCAAAUAGAAACCUGCGGAUCAUUGCAACAAACAGAGGGAAAAAGUCAGAAAACUCUGUAGUAAAAAGAAGACAUGUUCUUGCCAACUAUUUACUGCAAACUGUGCAACUAACAUAACUACUCUGUGCAAACAAAAAAAUGCAUAACUGUUAUAAUAAAGAUUUUGCUAUAGUCAUGUAACUUUUGCAACUAAGAUUGUCAUAAUGGUGUGCAAUUGCCUAUUUACUAAGUUUUUAGGUUGUCUGAAACACUCUUUCGUGGUUAACAACUGAUGACAUCACUUUAUUUUUUUAUGUGCAGGGACUGUGUGGCAGUAUCCAAAAAAAGGAAAAAAAUGCUUGAUAUCAAUGAGCUUCCUCAUGAUAUGGAUCAGCAGCAACCUAGCAUACCACAAGGAAAUUGGACAGAAAAUGGGUGAUCUGUUUACUACACGCAGACAAGUCGUGGUGUGAACCCUAUGGGCCAUGACAAUGUGGCAGGACAAUCAUCAACCCAUGAUGCCCCUGUAGUGGUGUCUUUGCGGUCAGAGAGUCAUACUUUUGAUGACACAGGAACCGCGGCAAAUGUUCCUGGUCCAACCAGGACUGAGCUAGGAGUUGGGGCUGUUGAUGGUGUUGGGCAAGGAGAAGAAGGAGAGGAUGAGGCUGGUUCUCAACCUAUGAAACCCUAUGUUGGCAUGAGGUUUGACAGCUCAAAUUGCUAAGGAACACUACAACAGCUACGCCCUACGGAUGGGUUUCUCUGUCAAGAUGAACUCCUCUAGGUGGACACCUCACACCAAUGUAUUGGUAAAACAGCAGUUUUGCUGCAACAAGUUCAAGAAGCCCAAAGUUGAUGAUGGAGGACUUGAGGCUCCUCUUGUCCUAGACCAUAUUCCAGAUCCAAACUUGUUGAAAGUGAUGAGGAAAUGGAAGAUGAACCUCCAAUCUUUGCUGAAGAGGAGGCUGGUCCUAGUAAGAAAAAGAAGAAACAGAAACGCGAGACAAUAAAAUAGACUCAGUGCAAGACAAAAAUGUUGGUGAAGCUGAUAGAUGGGCGAUGGAAGGUGACGCACUUUGUUCGUGACCAUAAUCAUCCGCUGGUGAACAAACCUUCGUUGUCCAAAUACUUGAGAUCCCACCAAGGCAUCUCACUUGAUGAAAAAGAGAUUUUGCGCAUCUUGUAUAACUGCAACUUGACUACAGGUGUGUUUCUAUAUCCCUUACAUAAUUAAGUUUCCCUCUAGACAGUCCAGUGUGCAAUUAUUAUGGUACUCCUAUGCAACUGAAAUGUCUUGAUUAUGCAACUGGUGUCCAACUUCCCAUGUUGUUUCUAUAUCACUUUGGUGUGUUAUGCAACUAGAUUACCUUCACUGUGCAACUACACAAUGUCAUGUAUGCAAAGCGCAAAGUGUUUUUAAAAAGGUGCAGCUAGGUGUCCGUUUCCUGCAAUUAUCUUCUGUGCCAACACAUGUCCUAUUACUGUGCAGCUGGAUGUGCGCAUUCGUGCGACUAAAAAAUGAUAUAUUGUGUUUUUGUAUUAUGCAGGAUGUAUGAUGCAUAUAAUGGCAGAGUUCUACGGAUCUGAGAUGAUGGUGCCAUUCGGACCAAACGCAAUAACAAAUCUGUGUACAAGUUUCCGUAGAGAUGACAUAAAGGAGGGUGACAUGAUUGAGAGAAUUGCGCACUUCAAAGAUAUAUAGAAAACCGCUCCAGACUUCUUCUAUAAGGUAAAAUAUGAUGAAGAGGACAGGGUUGUCAACAUAUUUUGGGUGGAUGGCUUAGCUCGAAAAGCGUAUGCUGAGGCGUACCACAAUUGCAUAUCGUUUGACACUACCUACAUGACCAACAUGUAUAAUAUGCCGUUCGCACCCUUCAUUGGAAUAAACCGACAUGGCCAAUCUUUCAUGCUCGGUUUCGCGUUUGUGAGGCAGGAGUUGGCAUUGAUCUUUGAUUGGGUCUUCCAAGCAUUCCUAGAGGCUAUGGGUGGCAAACCUCCUGACAACUUCAUAACCGAUCAGGAUGGUGCAGUGAGGCAGUCAAUAAAGAACAUCUUUCCAACCAUCGUGCAUCGCUGUUAUUGAUGGCACAUCAUGAAGAAGGCACAGGAAAAGGUUGGUUGGUUGUGCCGGAAUCCAGGGCUCUCUAAUGAUUUCAACUACUGUGUUGACUUCAGCUUCACUCCAGAUGAGUUUGAACAGAAUUGGGCUGGGUUAAUGAUGAAGUACGAGGCUAUGACACACACACACACACUUUGAGAAGUUGUAUGAAUACAGGUCAACUUGGGUGCCAUGCUAAUUCAAACACAGGUUCUUCCCCUUCCUACAGUCUACAUAGUGUAGUGAGGGAUUCAAUGCCGUCCUAAAAAGAUAUGUGAACCCACACAACUCGAUGCUGAACUUCGUCAAGCAAUAUGAAAAAAUUCAGAACCACAUCCUUGCCAAGGAAGGCUACAAUGAUUACAGGACACAACACCUUGAGAUUGAGCUGUGGUUCAAAUUCCCAAUAGAGAAGCAAGCUUACGAAACCUACACUAGGGACCUUACCACAAGUUCAGAGAAGAGUUUGAGCUGAUUGGACAUUAUAAUGCGUUCCAAGUUGGUGCUGAUAUUUUUGAGCUCAGACCGAAUCAGGAAUUUGUUGCCAAAUAUGGUUCUCGAAACUACUUGGUGCAAGAUAGGGUGGAGGAGGGUUCCUAUUUGUGUGAGUGUUGUAAAAUGGACAAGGACGACAUCCUUUGUUGCCACAUCUUCAAGGUGUUCACUCAUAUUGGAGUUGAUGUCAUAUCGGAAAGGUACCUGCUAAGACGGUGGAUACCUACCGUUGUACCUAGUGCGCUAGGGACUGGGUAUGAGCAACCGGAUGAAAUGCCUCCUCAAUCAAAGAAGCAGAUAAGGGACAGGAACAUGAUAUACAAUUUUCGGAAACUAGCAAAGUUUUCUAGUGGCUCUGAUGCAACACAAGCUAUUGUAUACAAGCAUAUGCGCGGAGCACGUACCGAGAUCGGCCACCUGAACAAGUCCAAGAAAAAGAAAAAACCGGCUGCCGCUACAGUGCCAUCAGAUGAUGGCAACCUGCUACAUCUUGAGCUUGUGUUGGUUUUCCUUGAAGAGGAAAGGGUGAUGCAACAAAGUAGCGUAAGUAUUUCCCUCAGUUUUUGAGAACCAAGGUAUCAACUCAGUAGGAGGCUUCUGAACAAGUCCCACGAACCUACACAAACAAACAAAGAACUCGCAACCAACGCGACAAAGGGGUUGUCAAUCCCUUCACAGCCACUUGCGAAAGUGAGAUCUGAUAGAGAUAAUAUGAUAAGAUAAAUAUAUUUUUGGUAUUUUAUAAUAUAGAUGCAGAAAAUAAAGAUGCAAAUAAAAGUAGAUUGAAAGCAAAUAUGAUAAGAGAUAGACCCGGGGGCCAUAGGUUUCAUUAGUGGCUUCUCUCAAGAGCAUAAAUAUUACGGUGGGUGAACAAAUUACUGUCGAGCAAUUGAUAGAAAAGCGAAUAAUUAUGAUGUUAUCUAGGCAUGAUCAUGUAUAUAGGCAUCAUGUCCGCAACAAGUAGACCGACUCCUGCCUGCAUCUACUACUAUUACUCCACACAUCAACCGCUAUCCAGCAUGCAUCUAGAGUAUUAAGUUCAUAAGAACAGAGUAACGCAUUAAGAAAGAUGACAUGAUGUAGAGGGAUAAACUCAAGCCAUAUGAUAUAAACCCCAUAUUUUUAUCCUCGAUGGCAACAAUACAAUACGUGUCAUGCAACCCUUUCUGUCACUGGGUAAGAACACCGCAAGGUUGAACCCAAAGCUAAGCACUUCUCCUAUGGAAAGAAAGAUCAAUCUAGUAGGCCAAACCAAACUGAUAAUUCGAAGAGACUUGCAAAGAUAACUCAAUCAUAUAAAAGAAUUCAGAGAAGAUUCAACUAUUAUCCAAAGAUAAACUUGAUCAUAAACCCACAAUUCAUCGGAUCUCGACAAACACACCGCAAAAAGAGAUUACAUCGAAUAGAUCUCCACAAGAGAGGGGGAGAACAUUGUAUUGAGAUCCAAAAAGAGAGAAGAAGCCAACUAGCUAAUAACUAUGGACCCGAAGGUCUAUGGUAAACUACUCACAACUCAUCGGAGGGGCUAUGGUGUUGAUGUAGAAGCCCUCCGUGGUGGAUUCCCCCUCCGGCAGAAUGCCGGCGACGGCUCCAAGAUGGGAUCUCGCGGAUACAGAAGGUUACGAUGGUGGAAAUUGUGUUUCGGUUGCUCCCUGGAUGUUUUCGGGGUAUGUAGGCUUAUAUAGGAGGAAGAAGUACGUCGGUGGCCGCCCGAGGGGCCCACGAGACAGGGGCAUGCCCUAUAGGGGGGGGGCCCUACCCUCUCAUGGUCGCCUCGGCUGCUUCUUGACUUGCACUCCCAAGUCCUCUGGAUCACGUUCAUUCCAAAAAUCACGCUUCCGAAGGUUUUAUUCCGUUUGGACUUCGUUUGAUAUUCCUUUUCUUCAAAAUACUGAAAUGGAAAAAAACAGCAAUACGGGCUGGACCUCCGGUUAGUAGGUUAGUCCCAAAAAUGAUAAUAAUGUAUAAAAUAAAGCCCAUAAACAUCCAAAAUAGGUAAUAUAAUAGCAUAGAACAACAAAAAUUUAUAGAUACAUUGGAGACGUAUCACAACCCUCGAGGACCUUCUCCACCUCCAGACCCUACACGGCAUGCUCCGCCACGUCCUCCCCCGCCUGGCCCAACAAGCAGUGGCACGCGUGCUCCUCCCAAUAGCCCUACUGGGAUUACUCAGGAGCCUCAUCAUCCAGGUAAUCGCCUGCCCUAACACCCCAUCUAACUAGGUGUGUAACUUCAGUUACACACUCAUGGUGCCCAGUUGCACAGAACAUGCUACCCAGUUGCGUACGCUAUGUUAGUUCGAGCAUAAAGAUAAACAACUAACUUUUUUUUUCUGUUCUGGCUAUAGUUGAUGGCAACCCUCGAGGACCUCCUCCACCUCCAGGCCCUACACUGCAUGGUCCUCCACCUCCUCCCCCGCCUGGCCCAACAAGUAGUGCCCCGCAUGCUCCUCCCAAUGGCCCUAUAGGGAGUACUCAGGGGGCUCGUCAUCCAGGUGAUUACCUGCCCCAACUCCCCAAGCAAGUAGGUGUGUGAUUUCAGUUGCACACAUCAUGGUGCCCAGUUGCACAGAACAGGCUACCCAGUUGCGCGCGCUCUGUUGGUUCGAGCAUCAAGACAAACAACUAACUUGCUUUUUCCUGUUCUGGCUACAGGUGAUUACCAUCCAAGUGCCAUGACGGGCCGUGCUACUACAGGUUUUCUUUUAAACUUAAUUUUCACAUAGCAACCAGUUAGUUGCACAACAUAAGUUGUGUGGUUGCAGAGAACAUCAGUCCUGGUUGCGCAGAAAAAAAAACUAAACUCUUUAUAUGAUUAUUCCAUAGGUGAUCAAACACAACCUCGUGAUGGUCCUGCCCCGUUGGAGGCUGCAUCCCCAGCACAAGCCUAUGAUGAUUUUGUGCCUAGGGAUCCUCCAAAGUCUACUACAAAGGGUAGGGAGAAGAGUCGAUGAUACAAAUCGGUGCUAGAGCUACACGGAAAGAAGAAAAACAAAUGCAGCCACUGCCAAUCUACAGAGCACACUUCUGGUGUGUGUCCACUCAGACAGCUGUGAUUCUCUUGUAUCGUUUGUAUCAAAAAAGGGAAAAGGGAACAUAAUGAUGGUUUUUGAGCAAUUUAGGGGCCAAAGUGGACACAUUCAGCAUCUAUGCUUUCUCUUCUCUAAGUUGUUUUCCUUGAAUUAGUUAAUGCACUAUGUAAAAAUGGUUGUUAUUUGUGCCUUUGUUGACAAAUCGUUUAAUAUUUAGUUGUUGAACAAUUGUAUGCCCAGUUCUCCUAAUGUGUGAACAAAAGUGAUGACAAUGAGUUGCAACGGAAUUACUACUAAUAUGCAACUACAAAUCUUUCUAAAAAUUGUGCAAACUAGCAAGGCAUUGAAAAAAGGGCAAAUAAUAAAAAGAGUACUGACCUAGUCCUUUUCGUAUCUCAGCAACUUCCUCCAUGGGGCGGAGUUGUGCGUGCUGGUGACCCAAUCAUAUGUCAGCUUCUUCCUGAUGUUGAGUGUUUCCCUGGGCUCAUAGUUGGGCAGUAGGCUCCCGUUCCACUCAGUGGUGUUAAGUAGUGUGAACAGACCACACUCAUUGCUGCAAUGGGGAAAAAGAAAAUUUGUUGGAGGCUUUUAAAACCAAUAAGACAAUGUACUCUGUGGCACUGUGCAACUAAUUAUAUGUCACUGUGCAACUACUUAUGUGGCACUGUGCAACUAAUUAUGUGGCACUGUGCAACUACUGAUGUUCAACUGUGCAACUGGCUAGAUGAUCCAUGAGAAAGUCAUAAAAAUGAAAAACAGAUUGCAAACUAGUUGUGUGUCUUAAAAAAACUAAAGAUUGUACAUGUAGGAAAUUUUUAAGACUACAGAUUGAUUGAAAAAAAUAGAGAAGAAUGUAAUGCUUCUUAUCUUACUUGCCAAUCUGCUUCGGUACGUCGAUGUCAAUAACCUGGAAGUGCUCGAUGCUCUGCUUUGGGUAAUGCUUCCUCCAUAGUUGGAGUACUGCCCCGCGAUCGUAGAGGCAAUGUUCAUCAACUCUAUGUGUUCUAGCUUCCUGUUUGAAUCAAGGACUUCGAAACGUCCGUCCCUCAAGUUGAUGUUGAAGACCCAAUAAUGUCUGCCUCCUUCACGGUCGUUUACAUUAUCGCACUCAAGCACUGGCAGCAUGACCUGCACACGUGAAUGAUUCAGACACAGAUACACGUUGUAGGUAAGAAAAAAUACUACAAAAAUGAUGAAGUUGAAACAGGUUGGCAGAAGGUAGUUGCCAACUAAUAGAUAUGUCAUGUGCAAAUGAACAUGAUGUGAGUGCCAACUAAGAGAUGGAUCAUGUGGGCAUAGCACUGACCAAGUCUUUCUUGUCGAGACGGUUCUUGUAUUCAAACUUCUUGUUUAUCUCAUUCACAUUGUGGAGCCCUUGCUGUACGUUGAUCUGCAGAAAUUAUAAACAUGCCUCAACCUCCUUUCUAUAUGAAAAGACUCCCCGGUUGGUCAACAAAAGUGGUACAAAAAAAGGAAGAGGAUACAAAGCUUUUGAAAAAUCUUACAAAAAUCCUCAGUGGCAUAACGACUUUCUUUGACCCUUCUGAUAAGUUAUCCAUGAUGUGUAUGAUUCCAGUCUCAAUAACAAUUUUUGAAAGACAUUGCUUUGGCUUCAUGGAAUAAACUAACUCCUUUAAAGAAAUGUAGAAAUUACCAUACCUGAUUAUCUCAGGGCUGCAAUUUUUUUUAAAGAAAUGAAAGACAAAGUUAGCUUGAAGGGUCACAGAAAGAAAGAAAUAUGCAUUAAAAAAACAAGAGUGUGCAACUAAAAGCACUGUUCUAUGCAACAUGCUCUGCUUGUUGUGCAACUAAGUGGGUGGUACUGUGCAACUGAAAAAGAUAUGUAUAUAGGUUGUGGGGUGUUGGUUUACUUGGUAUUAUCAUCAUUUGCUUCUGGGUGAUGCCUGACCCAAUACACGAUGGCAGCGUAAAGCUUGUUGACUGCCUCAUUGGAUUUGAAGGUCUUAUUUUUGUUGUAAUCAGUGAAUGAAGACCUUUGAGAUGCUCCGGGCCUUAUUUCCCUCCUCUGUCUUCGUGCAAUAGGUGGUCCUGAAGAACUGCUCGUGCCAACUGCUGAUUCUUCGCAUAUCGGGGUGUGGCAGCUGUCUGGUGAUCCAACAUCUGGUUGAUGAGCUAAUCCCUUGCCAGCAUCAGCAGCAACGCAUCCUCUGUUCACAGUUGCUGGGUGCAACUCAUCCUCAUCUAUGACAACCACGUUGGCUUCCCCUGUUUGUGCUACUGGAGCAAGUGCUCCAGCAGGCCCAACAUCAUCAUCUAUGCCCAGGUCAAAGGUUGGUGCAUCGCAGUACCCGUCACCAUGAUAGCUGUAAGAAUUUGAUCUGCGCAUGGGUUGAAGGCCAGGGGCAUCUCCUUUCGGCACAUUCACAGGUGCAUCGUUCGCUGACCUGGUUCACAGUAAUGUUGUGGUUGGCGGCCUGGGAGGCUUGCACCUGCUUACAAUGUUGAACACCUCCUCUUAUGUUAAUGUGUGCUGAAAAUCAGCUCUUGGUGAUGAACGCUUGCUUGGAUGCUCUGUGAUAGCUCUUGGAGAUGGCUGGCAGGUUGAUGACCUCCUUCCAUGUUUGGCAUUGAAGAAUCUCUAUGAGUUGUCACCUUGGGGCUUGCGGUUGCAGUUGUGUCUUCCUGAGCAACAGCGAUAGUUUUGACUGUGACCCGCGUGCUAAUUGACACUUCAGUUGGUACACUAGUAUCUGUAGUUGGCAUCUUUGCAGCCUGAGUUGGCAGCAAACUAGCAGAACUUGGCAUUCCUGCAUUAAUGGUUGUGGCACGUUGUUCUGUCUCAUGUCUGGACCCCACACCUUUUCUGUCCUGUUCCGCAUUUGUGCCCUUGGCAAACUUGACAAUCUUUUGCUGCUUAGAUGAUUUAGGUGGGGUUAUUGAUAGAGAAAUCUUCCCCUUGAUCUGUUGAACUUCUAUGAUGGUUGUAGGCUCAACAGGAAUUGCUGACACAUCUUGAGUGGUGGUUGGCUCUCUAAUCACUAUAGUUGGCACAACAGUUUGCGCCACAACUUCCUUCUCUACAUUUAUUUCUACAUCUGCCCUCGGCAUCUGUUGCUUGGUUUGAGGCAACUUUAGAUUCUUCUUCAUUAUAACUCAUUUGCUCUUCUGGACCACAUGAGGGUUUGCCAUACAUGCUGCCUUGCUCUUGCUGGAGUUGAUAUCUGAAAGCUGCUUCAAAUAUUUCUUGUAUUUAUCCUUCGAAUGAACUCAGUCAAGACCCUUCCUUGCUUCCUCCAUGUCAACUGGAUUCUUUUCAGCCUCACUCAAGAAGAACAGUUUCUGGUCAAUAGCAAAAUAUAUCUUGUCACAGAACUCUCGCUCAUGGAAGUCUGGCACAGGGAAAGUGGUUGGCAAAGCUGGAUUCAUGUUGCACAGCUUGAACAUAUCAAUGCUCCCCUGAGACUCUGCUUCAUCAUUUUUCUUUGACUUUGACAAAUUCUUCUCUUUCCAGCAAGUUUUGUCAAUCAAUAUCUGUAGUGUGCUCCUGCUGCUCAUUGAGUUGCUACUGCUGGCAGGGUUGGUAGAGCUCCUACUCACCUUGGUUGUGUUGCCGCCUGUACCACCAGAACCAGGGCCAUUGUCAUCGUCAUCAUCAUCGGAGUUGUCACUGCCUCCAUUGGAUCCCCUUUGAUCAUUAGGAUCAACAUCCUUGUCUUCUUCCUCGUCAUCUCCUCCCCCCUCACUGCCAUCAAUUGCUACAACUUUGUCUCCAUCUCCUUCUUUGGCCUCAUUUUCUUGUUCCUCCUCCUCUGCCUCACUAUCUUCUUCCUUUCCCUCCUCCUCUCCUUUGUCCUCUUUUUCUUUGUCCUCCUCCUCCUCUUCCUCCUCCUCCUCCUCCCCAUCUUCUUCUUUGUCCUCCUCCUCCUCUUCCUCCUCAUCCUCCUCCUCCUCAUCUUCUUCUUUGUCAUCCUCCUCUUUGUCCUCCUCCUCUGAUUCAUCCUCAUAUGUGUCCCCGUCAACUUCAACAUCUUGUGGUACUUCCAUUUCAUCAUCUUCUUCUGACUCCUCCUCAUCAAACUCUUCUUCUUCUUGUAUAGGUGAAACCCGUCUCUUCCUUUUUGGAGCACGGCGUGACGGAGCGGUUCCUUGAUGUCUGCUGUACAUAUGGAUCAGUAUUCGAUUCCUCAUCAUGAAUCUUGGCAAUUGCUUCAAUGAAGGUGCCAACCUGUUCAGUGCUGCCUUGCACAAGUCAUUGACCACUUUGGCAAUCUUUGCCCUUUUCUGCAUCAACAAAAAAAAUUGAGUACUCAUUCAAUUAGAAACAAUUAAAAAAACAAAAUGUCGGUAAAUGAUCGAAACUCCUUUAUGCAAAAGACUUACCUGUGGAUUGUAAGUGGUAAUUUGGAUGCAACGAAUGCUUGAGCUUGAAAGAGACCACCAAAUAGUGGUGUCUGCUCCGUGCCCCUAUACUCCUAUUUAAGCUGAUGUAAAAAGGAGAAAAAGAAAAGAACAAGGUUAUCAAAAUAGAUAUUGUGUUGAACGAAAACCAGAAUGUUAUAACCUGUGCAACUACAACAAAAUGUUGGGCAUACUGGAAUCUACAUGUAUGCAACUGCACAAACCAAAAAAACUGUGCACCCCAUAGGUCACCUAAAAAAAUGUUUCUGCCAACUGAUAUCACACAUCUUGCAACAAGAUAAGUAAAACUGUGCAACUUGAAACAUAUGACGUGUCAUAUAAAAAUGAACAUGUGUCCAGAUGCCAAACUAGAGCUACAAGCUGUGCAACUACAGGCAUUAUUGUGCCAACUAAUUACAAAUUUUGUGCAACUACCAAAAAGUGUCAAAAAGCUGAUCUCAAAAGCAUAUAUGCAGCUACCAAGGAAUUAAAACUGAGCAGAAAUGAAUAGAACAUAAAAAUAGCCACUGUUGAAAAAAACAAAAGGGAACUCACUUGUAAUUUGCUGAACACACCAGGAGAGAUUAAGUCCUUCUUGAUCACCUUGGCAAUUAGGUUACUGUCCCAUGCAUUCACUCGUAUCGUGCAGUUGCUUUCUGGGAUGUCAUGAAUGAGCGUGUCAAGGUAUAGGAUCUGCCGCAGAACCAAAAAAGGAAACCCAACUUCAGUUAUUAUGAGGGGUAUUUUCAUAAACUAUAACUGCACAAAAGGAAGAAAAACACAUGGAAGUGCUAGUUUUCACUCACCAUCAAGUUAUACAAGCAGCAACAAAUAGUUUGCUUCGCCUGGUCCAUGUUCCGGAAAGCUUCAUUAAUGUGUUCUGCUACAAAAAGGUAGAUGUUUGUGUUCUUAAGGUUUGGAUGAUCUAGCACGAGUCCGUAGCACUUUGGGCUUAGCCUCAGGGCCGUGGUUGGUGCUAGGAAAGUGCUGAAUGCAACCGUAAGCCAGGCCAUAAAGAAUGUGUCAUCCGUUCUUCCCGCCAUAUCCUUAAUCAUCUUGCACCAUGUAGUGAUCUGGGGAUGAGAAUCUCCACGUAUGUUGAAAGCCUCUCUGAAUCUCCUAGUUGCAUCCUUGUCAACUACAUAUCUGACUUUUUGACCCUUGUUAGGAAGAUCAAAUACCCUUUGAACACUGUCAGCAUCGACACGGAUCAUUCCCCUGCCUGGGAACACCAUUUCAGAGGUCUCUGGCUGGUAGGACUGCACCAGAAAUUUACUGAAGUCCCUUGGAAGUGUAUCUGAUAAGUUCAAGAGGCCCCCAAACAACCUUGAGACUAGCUCAGACUUCUGCGGCGGGGAUAGCGAGCUGUUGAACUUCGCAAACCGCCCUGGUGAUGCCCUUAUCCUGCCAGCUUGUGAUGGUCACUCCACAUCUUCCCGGGCAGCCACCUCAACUCCUUCACCGCUGGCCUGAUGUUGAAAAAAUAAAAAAAAUUAAACACAAGACAGAAAACUGGACUGAGAAAAAACUAGCAAUGAUCAUUUGGAUCAGUAUUGCUAAAAUUAUAUAAACAUAAAAUGGAUCAUGCCAACUAAUAUGAUGUUUUUGUGCAACUAAGAAAGCUCAUCAUGGCAACUGAAGACUACUAGUGUGCAACCUGCAAGAAAACUAAGAAAACAUACUAGACCUGACAACUACAAAAAGUUCUAGGGGAUGUGCAACGAUAAAGCAUGAUAUUGGAAAGAAGAUAACAACAACUAAAAAAAGGUUUGCAAGAAAUUGUUCAAUAGCUCAUAAACACACAAAAAAACCACAUACCUCAGCAUCUGCUACGGAAGAGGAGGCAACUCCUCCACCAACUGUUGCCUGCACAAAAAUGGUGACCAGUGAUGUCAGCUACAAAGAUGCCAACAUUUGUCAACUUCUGCGAAAACUAUAUUUACAUCAAGAUGACCAGUGUUGUCAACUACAAAAUGAUUAUUGAGCAACUAGAACAAAAUAGUGGUGCCAACGGCUGCAUAAUUUCAUCAGCGCCUAAAAAACCCGAGAAACAUUGAUAUUCAAGGAUUUACUUACCCUGGUAGAUGAUUUAGCUCGCCCUGCUGCUGCUGACGUUUAGUCCGCUUUACAACCCGAAACCGAUCAACAUCCUAAGAAAAUAAAAAAAACAUGGGCAUGGGAUUUUUUUUUAUUAUAUGACCCAAACAAAACCAAAAUAAGGUGCUUGUGUCAUCAGCAUGCCACUUACCUCAACUUCCUCUCCCUCAUGAACACUAGGCGCACGGCAUGGCUGGCAAUUAGCAACACGCUUAGUCCUCCGGCGAAGGGUCUGACUUCCAGAACCCUAAUUAAGCAACAAAAAAACAUGAAAAAAAGGACAUAAGCAUACAUGGAUAAGUUGAAAACAACUCAAAGACGCAAAAAAAAAGAGAAAAAUACAUCUCCUUCAUUGCCAUCCGCAUCUCCUCCUAUUAUAACUUUUUUUAGCCUGUGAGGGGAAUACAAGAAAAGAAAACAUAGUUAGAAGAUGCGCAAAUGAACUAGACAAAACAUAAAAGCUUGCUUUGAUCUACAGACCUCUACACAUAAGCAGAACACCCAGUGCAAAAAACUGUAAAACAUGAGGACAACCAACUACUACAGUGAUGCAGCCAAUUGGGCAGUCAACCUUGUGCAACUGGACAGCUUAUAAGCCAACUAGUUUCACUAAGGCAAGAAAUAACUAGGCAGAAAAAUAGUUAACUAAAGGCAGCCAGCUGGGUAUGAUAAUUUGUGCAACUGGGACAAACAAAAAGCCAACUAAUAUAGCCAACUGGAAUAUAUGUAUAAUUAGGUGCACCAGCACGGCACCUACAGGGGCAACUCGAACACGGAAGUAGAGCAACUUUUGCAACUCAAACAACAUAUAGACAACCUAGUACAAAAUUAGGAAGCAAACCUAAGCAUGAUAACCUAGCAGCCAACCUAGUACAAUGUAGAACAUGUGGACAACCAACUAGUAUAUGGAUGCAGCCAACUGAACAACAUAUAGACAGUCAACCUAGUGCAAAAUAGCAAACCAAGUAAGCAGGACAAGUAGUGCAAGUGUAGAACAUAUGGACAGCCAACUAGUAAAACUGAUGCAGCCAACUGAGCAGUCAACUUGUGCAACUGAACAGUGCAUAAGGACAGCCAACUAGCAUGUGAAUGAAGCCCGGAUAGAAUUUUGUGCAACUAAUAGAAAAUCUCUACCUAAAUCUCUACCAACUUGUGCAACUGAACAAUAUAUAGACAACCAACCUAGUACAAACAGGAAGCAAACUAAGCAUGACAACUAAUGCAAAGUGCAGAACAUAUGAACAGCCAACUAAAAAAGGGAUGCAACCAACUGGGUAGAAUUUUGUGCAACUAAACCAAAAACUAGUUCAAUCAGCCAUUGCAUCGCACACAUCUAGGACAUCAUCUACCAACAACAAAAACCGUAACAAGGACCAGAACAUGGUAUAUGGACGGUAUAUUGGGCGCACACGUACCUCAAACCGCAAAUUCCCAAGCACCACUUGGCCAUGACCAACAAAACACUCGGUAAUGAAUCCCCACCAUCACUACCCCUUACAACCGCACAAAAUCAAAGCAAGCACAGAAAGGGGCAGAAAAUGGACCCUAUGCAGCCCGCCAGAUCCGCCACUGUCAACCCGGCCACAGCCUCAUCCCCAGCGACGAGACAGAGAGGGGAAGGACAACAAAAGGCCUCUGCGGACGUCUGCGUCGACCGCAAAUUCCAACAACCACUCCACCGACACCAACACACCCUCCCACCAUGAAUCCCCACCACCACUUUCCCUUGCCGCCGCACAAAUCCAAGGACAUGAGAGUCCAACGGAAGCACACACAACACGUCUACACCAAAUCGACCAUACGAGGCAGUUGACGCCAUAGGAACCCUAGGAAUCCCAGCCCGCCAUUUCCGCCACCGACGGCCUCGAGACGACCUAGACCCCCGGCGAUGAGACAGAGAAAGGAGGGAUGCGGGAUGCACUGGGUACUUGCAACGCCGACGAGGGCCAACAAUGAAUCCCCCCGCGGUCCACUGGAGAUUUGGAGAGCAGCGGCGCGAAUCGCCCUGGAGCGAGAGCGAGGGCGGAGGAGAGGAGCGCAUAAUGGGAGGAACGGGAGAGAAAGGGGGGAGAAAGGGCGAGAACGACUCGUGUUUCAAAAACGGCCGCCCACAAUCUACGCCACGCCCGCUUACAUGUGGGUCCACGCUCGUCCCGGAUAAGGACAAACCGCCCAUGAUGCGCGGUUGCACGAAAUCGACCAGAGACACCUCGCACUCACGCGAUGCCGAUCGCGAGCGAUCGUGCGGUCGCGGGCCGGCCGCCCGUUCUCUCCAAUUAGUGCGUAUGCACUUUUAAGGUUUUAGGUAGAAAAAUUAUUGAUCAUAUAUUAAAAAAUGAUGAAAUUUUUUGAUCAUGCAUAUAAAAAAUGUUAAUCAAGCAUUUGAAAAAAAAUUGAACACAUAUUUAAAAAAUAUUAAUCAAACAUUCAAGAAAUGUCAAAUGUGCAUAGAAAAAAUAUUGACCAUGUGUUAAAAAAUGAUGAUUAAAUUUGAUCAUGUAUAUAAAAAUGUUAAUCACGCAUUUGAAAAAAAUGUUGAACAAGUGUUUAAUAAUGUUAAUCAAUAAUUUAGAAAAUUUUAAAUGUGUAUAUAAAGAAUAUUAAUAAUAUACUUAAAAAGUUAAUAUUUUUCUAUGAAAACUAGAAAAAAUGUUGACCAUGUAUUAAAAAUUGUUAAUCUUGUAUUUGAAAAAUGUUAAAACUGUGUUUAGAAAAACUUUAUAAUUUGUAUUGGAAAAAUAUUAAAACUUUGUAUAGAAAAAAUGUAUAAUUUGUAUUGAAAAAAUGUUAGACAUGUAUUAGAAAAUUGUUGUUGAUAUAUACGAAAAAUGUAGAAUAAUAACCAAAGAACAAAGAAAACCAAAAUAGAUACAAAGUAAAAAAAGAAAAUGAAAAAUGAGGAGAAAAUGCAAAAAAAGGAAAUACCGGAGAGGAAAAAAAAGAAACGAAUAAAACAAAUAAAAAUCAAAGAAAACCGGCUCGAAUAGCCUCAAGGAGGAUGCACCCCUAGUUCUAACAGCGAAGGGGACUUGGGCGGAGUGGUUAUCGCAGCGAGGGAUCUCCCUGGAGACCAGGGAUUGAUCCUGAUUUCACACCUUUCUUGUGCUCUUUUUAUGUAAUAUGUGCGCUUGAAUGGCUGGCCCAAUACAACGUGAGGGGGAAAAAAGCUUCAGCAAGAGAUGCUACUAUCUCGCUUAACGCGAGACAUAGCCCUCGCGACAGACCACCGCCGAUGAUCUGUCGUGAGCUCUAGGCCGAGGAGGCCUGUAAUGAAGCCCAGAGAUAGACACAGAGGCUGUUGAACUUGAGGCUCUAUUUCCAUCAAGGUGUUGGAUUUAGGCCUCACUUGCAUAAAGAGAACGACAUUGCUGUGCAAAUGACGUUCGCGGCAGAAAUGCGCACGAUCCUCUAAUCAAUGGGGAACAAGUGUUGCCCAACCGAAUCUGAUGGUUGCCGCAGCUUGUCGGCUGUAAAUCGGCCGCAAUUGUGUCGUCCGUAUAGCAGUCGUUGUAAAAGAAACUUCCCUGAUUAUAAAGUGUACAUGCAUUUUGAACACUAAUUUUGACCACUACUUUAACCAACAAACCACCAGCUAUAUGUCACAGUCAAACAAAAGGAAGUCAAACCAUGUUGGAUGGUUAAAAGGACAAUGAUAUCCCAGUCCUGGGAUUCAAAACCUAUAAUUGAAGCUGAUGCUCAUUCUGGAUUUAUUUCAGGCCUUCCGGCGACGAGAGUUCAGUGGAAUGAAGCGUUCCUGUCAACUACAAAGGCAUCGGUGGUGAUUUUCUCAAUCACAAGAUGACGUGCCCGUCAACUACAAAGGCAUCGGUGGUGAUUUUCUCAAUCACAUGAUGACGUGCCGGCUCGGUCUUUCGAAUUUGCUCAUAGAGGCAAGGUGUGCAUUCAUAGGGAGGAAUAUAUGCGCGUAUGUAUGAGUGUCUGUGUCUGUAAAGAUAAAGAUAUAUUCAAAGAUACAAAAAUAGAAACAUUACACGAUGUAGAUACGGGUGGGCUUUGGGCUUGGGUAUGUGAUUACUGUACCCGCCCCAUACCCUAUCCAUGCCAUCCUUAAUCCCCUAAAAAAUGCCAUCCUUAAUGGAGUACAAAUACUGAAACCACUUACAUGAAUUUUCCAUCCAAAAUAAUAUUGCAUUUGUUACAUUUUACAACAAAGACUCGUGAAUAAUAGAGCCUAACACUAUGCUCCAUUCAGCAGUGCCCAAAUAGUGAAGUAAGCAUUACAGCAGUUCCAUUAUUUAUUCCACCACUUUCAAUGUUAUUUACAUGUAAUCGUGUCGUCAGACAACAGGAAGUCACAUUAGUUUUCUCUCAAUGGCAGUACCAAACGUCAAAAUAAUGAAAUCAGAUGGAUUUUACUCUACAGCGCAGCUCGAUCCGAUGACCGAAAACACAUUUCAGUAUCAGCCAUUCCAUCAGAGCCUACAAGCAAUAGCUUGUCAGGAUAGGCUUCGAUACGCCCGAAUGCACUGGUGCCGGGAGGACACUCCAGCGCAGCCUCGAGGGUGCGAUGGUGCACGCCGUGGGAGUCCACUGAGUAGCCACCCUUGUGGUCGUGCCCGGCAAAGCAGGCCCUAACACAGUUGUAUCGUCGAACGAUAGACAUCACCUCAUCAUAGUUCCACAUAAGAGCUGCUGGGUACACUGCGCCAGGGUCCAUUGGGAGAUGACUGCAUAGGAUGACGUUCUGCCGGCGGUCCGAUGCAUCCUGGAGGACAUCGUUGAGCCAGGACAGCUGCUCCUUGCCAACUGCACCAUUGAACUUCACAAACCGCCUGUCGACGCCAAAAAGACCGUCAGGGCUGUUCUUGUCGGUGUUUGGGUUCUUUUCAUCGAGGAGCUUCAAUGCUGCUGCGGUUACAGGAUGAUCAUGAGGCCAGCCAAGUGCGCUGAAAUCAUAAGCAUCCAGAACAACAAAUCUGUACUCAGGACAUGGUGAGAAGUCAUAAUACGCGCGAUCAGAAUCCGUCGGCAUCUUCAACAAUGCCACCAGCUUGCUCCGAGGAAGGUUGUAGAGGCAAUGGUUGCCAAACAUGUGGUAGGUCGGGCCAUCGAACUUCUCAAACUCGUCAAUGACCUUCUGCAUUGCCCACAACGACUUGUCCUUUGGGCAGAACCCGUCGAUGGUGUCUCCAAAGUUGAUGGAGAAAUUGAUAUUGCCUUGCUCAUUCCAUGUGCUGACAGCUCUUUGAAGGACGCUGAUGCUGUGCCGGUAGUAGCGUGGGACGCCGAGGAACGAGCAGCCGUCUGGGAUAUCGGCGUACUGGACAUCAGCAAUGAUGCCAAAUGUGAACAAGGGCUUCUUGGCAGAUGCAUGGGCUAGUCCGUUUGCGGCAGCCAUCACGAGAACUUCAGCGUCACCAGUCCUUCGGAAUCCCUCUUUGCAGGGAAGGCAGAAUUAGAUUCUGGAAUAGAAACGCGUUGCCCCCGUGCUGGAACCUAUAAUAUGAGCCAAGCAUUAUUUGUUCAGAAUUUGGGGGAGGGGAUCACUAUAUAUCACUUUGUCACAUUAAUAAACAGUAUCAAGCAGCGUAGCACAAUGCAUAUCAACAUCGUAGCAGUAAAAGUCUCUGCGUAUAGAGCCCUGCUAUAGAGCCUAGAAUAUAAGCCAGGCAAUGUUUGUUCAGAGUUCCGGUGAGGGGGUUAGUAUAACUUAGUAUAAACUAUAAAGCAAAGGAGCGCAAUGCAUAUCAACAUCACAGCAGUAAAAGUCUCUGCUUAUGGAAUCGUUGUGUUCCAUAAAAAAAAAAGGGUAUCUCCUUAUUCUUCAAAUUUUGUAGUGUAAAGCGUCAUUUCACCCACCCUCAGACACUAGCUAGUGGAAAUGCUACGAUAUUUCUUGACUUAGGGCUUCAGGAGCUCCUGAGAUUUACACGACGCGCGGAGACGCAGCCGAGCUGCCUGUAAUCGAAGCCUACGAGCUGCAGUGCCGAGAAACAAAGCGACCAGACCAACAGAUUGCAGCGACCAAACGAUCACAGGAGGAAGGAAACAGGGGAGGAUGGAUUGAUUACCGGCGCAGCGACAGGGGCGGCGAGGUAGGCUGCGGCUGCCGCGAGCGGGGUGGGCGGACUCCGGCGGGAUCUCACGCGCGCUGGGUUGGUAGAUCCCGGAUCGGACGGUGGAGUCCAGAAGCAGCGAGCAGCCGGGAGGGGGGAGGAGUUUGGAUCUUAACGGAAGCCUCUGUCCUCCUCUCCUCCGCCUCUCCGGCUCGGGAGAGGCAAAGACGGGGGAACCGAGUCGGACCACCACCGGUCGUUAGCCCUGGGCCGAAGAGGCCCGUAACAGAGCCCAAAACUGCAAGGGGUUUAAUUUGAGGACUCGUUUUUUUAUCUCAAUUUAUUUAUUGUAAUUUAAAAUAAAAUUUUAUUUAUUUUCAGGAAAAAAUUAGAUAUAUAAAAUAAAAACAAGCACAUUUUUCUGAAUAUUUUGAUUCAUAGAUGCUUAAGUAGUUUCGAGAUGUCUAGCUUCCUCUGGUCUCAGUGCGACUCCUUUGAUCUUUUCUUGACACGCAUAACAGAUUUAGACGCAAUUAGAAUCACCUCUAAACAUACUCCCAUAUGGAUCCUUCUAGAGCGAAUUGUUUGCUCACCAAUUAUAAGUCCUGGCGCUCAUGAACAAAAGUUGACCACAAAAUAAUGAAUCAAAGAGUUGCGCCAACCAUCAAGGGUGAAAACAACAUCCGAGGAUAAUUCACAUAUUGACAUGUCAACUUUUAGAAUUUUCUAUUAGUUACAACAAAGGUAGACAAAUGCUACCCUGGAAACCUCUCUUUGGAUACUUUUUUCGUUAGUGCAUUCUCAAAUCUCUAUCAAGAUAUAUACAAGUCAUUAAAUUAAAUAGGAACAAGAUAAUACACUAUAAUGUAUCUAAAUAGGCACAAAUUAUUUUUUUAGAUGAAUGUGACUUUAUCAUUAUUUUGAUUUCUUUCAUAGAUUUAGAUGGGAUUCCGCCAACUAAAAUGUCUCAAAUUAUUCAUAGAAAGGUAACAAAAUUUCCAUGACAAAUAGAGCCAUGGUUCCACAUUUGAAUUUUUGAAUGACAAAAUUAAGUUUAAUAUUACAUGGCAUUGCAUUAUUAUGUCCAAUGAUAAAUAGUACUCCAUUUAAAAAUUUAUGCAAUGCUCGUAUCAUUGAAAAGUAAUUAUUUACAAUUUGGUGACGUGGUGAUAUGUAACAAGUAAGAAAACAUCUAUAAUGAGACAUUGGCUUUAUUUUUCUUCAUCAGUUAUUAUUUUAGGGAUGCCAACGCAAUGGAGAAAGGUAAAUGAAGAAUAGGGAUGGAAUGAUGUCAAAUAAUUUUUUGAUGUACUCAUAAAAGUCCGUCCGCUAUGUUUGAAUUCCAGCUACAAAUCGUCUAAGAUUUAUUGUGGGACAACAUGCAGAGAUAGAGGGCUACACCUUCUUCCCCAUUAAAAGCAUGACCUCAAUAAUGGCAAAAUGGAAAGGGCAAAAAAGAAAAAUGAUCUCAUCAUCAUCUUCCUAUCUUCUUUUGCUAAUUCGAUCUAGACUCUGUAAAUUCAUUUUAGAACAAAGGUCUCUUUGGAUUGAAGGGGUUUUGUAGGAAUUUUAGAGGAUUUAAAUCCUAGGGAAUUUUUCUUAUGGAACACUAUUGGACCAUAGGAUUGGUGUUAUCAAAUUCCUAUGAAAUCGAUUCCUACGCGCCCAUUCCAUAGAAAUUUCAACAUGAGCUCGGGGCCUCUUUGAUUCGUAGGUAUUUCAAAAUAUAGGACUAGGAGAAAUAUGAAUUGUAAUGGCACGCCCACUUGAAUCCUGUAAGAUUAUUAGUAAAUCACGGAAGUUUGGAAAAGAGUGUUUGAUGCAAAAAAAAAAAGGAAUAUAUAACGGGGUUUGAGUAGAUGAAAAUAUUCUUCCAUUGUAGAAUGCAAAGGAAUUGUUUGGAAUUUUUCGUGAUGGGCGAGUACUCGUCACUCUCGUGUUCAUCAUGAUUAGGAUGGCGUGCGAGUAAUCACCACGUGAUAAGGCCGGAGCGUAGCCUCGUAGGCCACGUACAUGAUGACGAACUGAUCCAUGAUAUGAUUAUUUGUUGUGAUCUGUGAUAUGAUCCAAAAAGUCUAUGAACGCGUCGAGCGAGUCAUGCGCUUCUAGAGAGUCCGGAGGCGUACGCGGCGACGCCGACUAGGCCAUGUGGCAUGCAUGCGAGCCUCUCAUUCUUCCCGGCUUUGUUUAUUGGCGGGAGGAUGGUCCCUCCAGCACAGUGAUGCCCAUACGUGCACGCAACACCUCCGCGUAGCGUCGGUGCAGGACCAUAUGAUAUGAACAUCAUCGCUAUAAAUAAACCGUUCAACCUGCAUACCAAUUCGCAGCAACUCGACGACAAUACAAUACAACACGAUACACCACCAGUUCAUCUUGUAGCACAUCGAUCGGAGUAAAGUGCGUGAAAAUCAAGGAUAAUGGACGCGACCAACAAGGCGACCGGGCACGGCGGCGCCACCGGCCCCGCGGGGAACCACGGCGGGGCUCCUGCCGGUGCUGGUGCCGGGGGCGUGCAGCAGCUCCAGGCGACGAGGGACGACCGCAAGACCGACGGUGGCCUGGGCCGUUCCGGCGGGCCCACGGGGAACCACGGCGGUGCUCCUGCCGUCGGCGCGGCCGCCGCCGGUGAGAAGAAGGGCGUCGUGGAAAAUAUCAAGGAGAAGCUUCCCGGCGCCGGCGGGCAGCAGUGAGAGCGUCGAGUCACUGAGCUACAUGUACCACACAGCCUCUGGCACUACGUGUAAAAAGCUCAGCCACGCUUUUACAAAUAAAUAACGAGCUGUGUAUGUAUGCAUGCAUGUACCGAUGUACUUGUCUUCCAUCGGAAUAAAAAUACUUGUGUUUUGUAAGAAUUUGAACGGGAAAUAUAUUUUCAUUGGCGUACAGGGUUGAUUUUCAUGUUUUUGCGUUUUCCCCCAAUGUUUCGGCUUCGACUAUGUGUCCUAUACAUAUAUGUUUACUCUCAAAAAAAAAAAGAGUCAUUCCCAGAGCUAGUAAAUAAAAUCCUACACAGAAACUGGGUUGACCUCCCAAUGAAUGCAUGAUUAGUUGCAGACUACUAUUUUCAUUACAUGACUUGAACUUAUAACAAAAACAAAAUAUAUUAAUGUUCACAGGUUUUUUUCUCCGUAG
rnacentral:lncRNA from 1 species